rnacentral:lncRNA from 1 species
UAUCCUACGAUCUUGUUCGCGUGUUUUAAAUUGUUGUAUAGUAGUACUUUUUAUUGGCAAAAUGCAGUUCCCAGUGUUGUACACUUAGGUCCAUGAUACACGUUUCAGAAUAGCCUUGUAAAUCUGAUUAUUUAGUCUGGCCUUAACCAUGUUAGUGUGCAACAGAAGCGCAACAAUUUUGGCUCUGAGAAUUCAUGUGGGAGCUUCAUAGUCCUCUCUAAUUGUACUUUCUUUAUGUCACAUUUCUGUCUAAUCGUGUUUGCUUUAUGCUUGGAUAAUAUAAUGUUUUCUUCAUACACAUCCCAAGUUGUACAUUGAAUUUGAUGGACUAUUUUGCUAGCCAGCUCGACUUGUGAUACUGAUGUCAAGAUUCUUUUAGGAUUGUAAGGCGAAGACUGGGAAACAAAAUGGUUUGUCAAGUCAUAAGAGGAAUAGGAAUAGCAAUGGGGCAGUGCGGGUGCGGGUUUGAACGUUAGCGGACGGUGUGGGUUUGAGAUUUUUGCAGUUGCGGGGCGGGUUCAAUUUUAUAUUAAAAAAAUAUGCAGGGCGGGUCGCGGGUGGGGAUUAAGUUUGACGUUCCCUGUUGCAACAUUCAACAUUUCCUUCUGCUCUUUGGCCUUCUGCACUCAGGUUUGUAACAUAACAUUUCCUUUAUUUUUCCCAAGUUCAGCCAAAAAUAAAUACUCUUAAGAAGAAAACGAAUAUAAAUAAUUUUUACAGUGUGUCUUUAUUUUAUUUAAUGUAUUUUUGCUAGUGAAUCGGUGAUUUAUGCGAUUUGAGGGUGGAGUUUAUUGUUCUAUAGGAAAAACCACUAGAUUUAGAGGCAAAAGAUGGAAAUUUAAGAACAAUAUGGACGUAAUUAAUUAUUUUGUUAAAAAAAUCAGAUUUAAGUCUAGCUUUCUAAAAAGAAAGAAUUAAAAAAAUUGUGGGUGCGGGACGGGCUGGACGGGUGAACGCGGGUGGAGUGCGGGGUAGAUGAAUGCGGGUUUAACUCCUAUGCGGGGCGGGGCAGGACGAGUUUAAAUUUUGCGGGUUUAGACAAGACCCGCCCCGCCCUGCCUGCCAUUCCUAAAGAGGAAUAUCAGCAAUAAAAUUGGAAAAGCCUGAGAGCCAUAUGCUACAACAACAACAACAAAACUAGUGUAAUUUCACAAAGUGGGAUCUAGAGGAAGAGUAGAUUGUGCGCAAAUCUUACAGUAGACCUCUGGCUCAAAGUAAAAGUAAAAGAAGCACACACCACACAUAGUAACAUUAAUAAAAUAAAGUGAUAGAAUAGUCGAAGCGAAAGGAUCAACGUAUAGUAAAAGAAACAUACGGAAAAAAAAGUACGAAAAUAAGAGAUUAAGGGUGUGUUUGGUAUGAAGGAAAACAUUUUCCGGAAAAUAUUUUUCAAUAUUCCCAAGUUUGGUUGAUUUAAAUAUUUUGAAAAAUAUUUUCCUUAACAAUUUAUAUUCCUCCAAUUGGAGGAAAAUGUUUUCCUUAUCAAGAGAAGGAAAAAUAUUUUUCAGACCUCCUUCUCAACCUUCCCCACACUCAUUAACGCACCCCAUCCCCUCUCCAAAAAAAGACAUUUUUUUAAAAUUUCAGUUUUUCUAAUACCCCCCCNNNNNNNNNNNNNNNNNNNNNNNNNNNNNNNNNNNNNNNNNNNNNNNNNNNNNNNNNNNNNNNNNNNNNNNNNNNNNNNNNNNNNNNNNNNNNNNNNNNNNNNNNNNNNNNNNNNNNNNNNNNNNNNNNNNNNNNNNNNNNNNNNNNNNNNNNNNNNNNNNNNNNNNNNNNNNNNNNNNNNNNNNNNNNNNNNNNNNNNNNNNNNNNNNNNNNNNNNNNNNNNNNNNNNNNNNNNNNNNNNNNNNNNNNNNNNNNNNNNNNNNNNNNNNNNNNNNNNNNNNNNNNNNNNNNNNNNNNNNNNNNNNNNNNNNNNNNNNNNNNNNNNNNNNNNNNNNNNNNNNNNNNNNNNNNNNNNNNNNNNNNNNNNNNNNNNNNNNNNNNNNNNNNNNNNNNNNNNNNNNNNNNNNNNNNNNNNNNNNNNNNNNNNNNNNNNNNCCCCCCCCGCAAAAAAAAUAUUUUUUUACCUUAAUUUUUUUUGAUAUUUUAAAUUUUUAAUUUUUUUUAUUUUUCUGCACCCCCUCCCCCGUAAAGUAAAAUAUUUUUUUACCUUAAUUUUUUUUUACAAUUUUAAAUUUCUAUUUUUUUAUUUUUUUGCACUAUCCUCCCCCCUCCUCCUUGAAAAUUUUUUUACCUUUUUUUGUAAUUUUUUUUUUUGGUUUUAGAAAUUAUAAAGUUUACGGGUUCAAAAUUUUGCGAUUUUGAAUGUUUAGCGGUUCGAAGGUUUAUGAAAUUUGUGAGUCCAGAAGGUUGUUACUUUGAAAGUUUAUUGCUUCAUGUUUAUUAUAUUUAAAUUAUUUAUAAAUACUCUUGAGGAGUUAUUUUCCUUAAUUUGCAUACCCAACACUCGAAAAUAAAUAAGAUUACUAUUUAUUAUUUUCUUAAAAAAUAUUUUCCACGAAAAACAUUUUCUACGAAAAGCAUUUUCUACGAAAAACAUUUUCCGUUAUACCAAACACACCCUAAUACUAAUGUUACCGACAGGAAAAUAAGACACUCUCGCCUCUCUACUGACCUGAGAGCUAAAUACAAGUCAGAAUAUAUUAAAAAUAAUGACUUCUAUGGGACCAAAUAGUGUCGGUAGAGUGUGAGAGUUACUAAUGCAAUGGCACUUGAUAGUAUGUCAUCUUCAGAUCUGUCCCCCACAGGUCCAUGAUCACUAGUACUGCCUUUCAAUUUUUUUCAUUUAAAUUCUCACUCCACCUAAGUCAAUAAAUAAUACCCUUCAUGUGAUUUUAUUUCAACAAAUUUAGAUGUAAUUAAUGAACUGACCUUAAUAUAUCUUGAUUUUUGCUUAAGAUUAGUGUAUUGAAAAUAUAGAUUAGUUAACUAUAAAUGGAGAAAGGAAUCAAAAGUAACUUCCUACUAAAUUCUUUAUUCCUCCAAAGUAACAUGCAGCAUUAUGCCGAUCUACCUUAAAUUCUUUUGAGCCAACAGUCCAUUUUUAGAAAUAAAAAAAGUUGUUGUCGGUCACAUUAGAUGACUAUUACACAUUCACACUUAAAUUCUUUUGAGCUAAUCUUUAUUUGUGAAUCUAUUCAAGGCAUAGACAAAAUUGUCAUUAUAAUUGUCCUUCCCUACUUAUAAAAUGGUAUUACUAGAUCUUUUGGAAAACCUGAUGGGAUACGAUGUAGACAGACGAGUCAAUACCUCUUAUUUUUAUAUAUGGGAAAAUAGAUUCCUAUAUUGUUGUAUGUUGUGUUACUAUUUCACAAAUUACUUGAAAUAAAACUAGAAAUAUAAAAUAGUGCACUUUUGGCAUUCAAACAGUCGACUGAAUGGGCAUUUCGACAUAAUAAGUGUAAAAUUUCGGAAAAGGUAGAAUGUUUUUUUCAAGUGAAAAUGAUAUUUGAAAAAAUAGAGUUUUGUUUGGAUAUCAAUAUAAUUUUGGUUUAUUUUUAAAUUUUUGUGAAUGAUUUGAGUGAAAAUUUUAAAAAAUAGCUGUAUAGAUCAAAAUCUAGCCCCCCCUCCCCCGGAUCACGCCCAAAGUAUGCCCUCUAAAAAGGACUCUGCGGACGUUGCAAAUAAAACCCAAAUAUUAUGCCUAGGGUCGAAACCACAUAGAGUUAACCUAUCAAAUACCACCUUAAGACCCACUCAAAUUCUCAAGACCAGCUUCCCAGAACUUUCGAAUCACAGUUGGAGGUUUAAUUACUAACUAAUAUUUGGAGUAAACUAACAAGCUGAAAUUAGACUAACUAAAGUUGUAAACAAUAUGAGAGAGAGAUGCAAAAUAUUGAAGCCCAAAUUUUUGCUAUGCGAUCGCAGGAUAAAUAAUGAGAUUGUAUAGAAUAUGAGAGAGAGAUGCUAAGGUCAAGACUUUCCCUAUUGAUGGAAUCCCUCUUGUUUAUACUUCAUACAAAUUUACCAACAGUUCUAUAUCAACAAUAAACACUUAGCUUAUCAUGAAUUUCUUCCCAAUAAUCAUAAUAAUAUAUUAUUGCACUCUCCCGAGCUACACUAGCUAGCUUUAGUUAAACAAUUCAUUUAAUAUUGCACCAAAGCUUUGUUAUUCCUAAACCCGCCUUUAAACCCGUAGUUAUAGAUUCCUCUUAUUACUUUAGGAGUGGUGUUAUUCAACAACUACUUAAGCAUGCACUCUUUUCCAAGUUAUGCACACUAAAUAAGCACAUCUAGUUGAGGAUCCUGUCAAUUAACUACAACAAAAACAUAGUUGAAUAAAUAUAGAUUAAAACAGGCAAAACUAAUUGAGGAUCUUGUCAAUUAACUACAACAAGAACAUAGUUGAACAAAUAUAGAUUAAAACCGGCAAAUUUGCAUUAACAUAAACUAGAAGUUCUUCCCUCAAUAGGUUCCAUCAAGACCUUAGACAAAGGAUUUAGCUGCUCAUAAUUAUGGAUAAACAAAAUAAACUAAGAUUCAACAUAAUAAAAAUCAAAGGGAAAGAAGAAAUAGGUUUGAGCUAUUCUCACACACUUAUUUUUCCUUCCAAGAACUCAAAAUAAUCAAUACAUGCCUCUCUUGGCGAAACCUACGGACUAAUAUAGGUCUUAGGGCUUAAUUCCACGUUUUUCCACAUUUACCCCUUGCCAGUCACACGCCUUCUCUUUGGACGAAACAUAGUGACUAAUAUAGGUUUUAGGGCUAAAAUUUCACGUUUUGGACACAAUUGCCCUUGACCUUUCGCACGCCUACCGCGGUUCUACCGCAUUCGCGGUUCAAACGACCCCUCUGAAAUAAACGUAAUCUGCAGUUGUAUCCCAUCGCGGUUCUGCCGCGGUCGCGGUAGAACUGCGGUAGGCGACCUUCUCUGAAAUCUGGACCUGUUUUUGACGCGGUUUGGUUGUGAGUUUGCAUGGUUGGCCUCUUUUCUUCAUUUUCUCGACUCAAAAAGUACUUCUCGCCUUCCUAGUUGUUUAUAGCCUGAAAAACACAAAAAACGCCCAUAAGAGUAUUUUUGCUAACACUUUUAAUAUCAAAACAGUACAAGAAGGUGGUUAUUUAAGACCUGAAUAUAGUUAAAUUCACCUAUUAUCAACAUCCCACACUUAAACCUUUGCUCGUCCUCGAGCAAGCUAAACCACACUUCCAGACCUAACCAAUUGAUGCAUUACCCAAAGUUAUGUCACACCCGCCACAGACCAACCUUAAAAAUGUAACAACCAUCCCCAAGAUGCAGACUCUAUUAACAUGACACAAUCAACCUCACUCUAUUUACUCUAUAUAGAUGAAGCCUCACUUUUUCUUCCUGAGUUACAUGCCCUUACAUCAACAUUCUGAGAGAAGUUCCACACACAUAUAACUUGAAUACAAGGAACUAAAGAUAGAAAGAAUUCCCUCACUCUCAGCAAAGAGCAUUCGCAUGCCACACAGACACACCAUAAGCUUGCCCCUAGUGUAGUACUUUACUAAUCGAGCUGUUUCAGUCAAAGAUCAAGAGGUCUUGAGUUGGUUGUAAUGUAGGCUAAGGAACGAGUAUGAUACAUUUGGAUAUAGUGACUAACCUCCCUAUCACUUUUAAUACAUACUUCCCUUUUUCUUAUACGUUUUCAUGUUCAGCCCCCACUCAUUCCUCCACGUUUUUAUUUCAUAGUUGUCCCAUACUUUUCUUCAGGUGCACUGGCCUCUUAUUUUCUAUAUCUCUCUUUUUCUUUUUCCUUUUUUUUUCUUUCUUUUGCUUUGUUUUCGUGUCUCUCUUUUUGUUUUUUUCUACAAGACCACUGCAUCAUUCAUUUUAUUCAUUCUUGAUUUUCCCUUUUUCGCUACUCCCUACCACCCCACACUUUGACUUUUUAUAUUCUGCAUUAAUUCAAGUGCUUCUAGGAGGUACAGGUUCAAGCAACUUAUUCAAACUCAGGGAUAUUGUUCAUUACAGUGUUACCAAAGAAUAUGCUUCAGGUUCAAAGGGGUUAACUAUGGACAUAUGUACAGGUGGAUUCACAAGAUUUAUAUAAGGGUUUAAAAAAAGAAAUGCCUCAAUCAUCUCUAAGACCUAACAACUUCUAUUUCUCUUUGCAAACACACUGGGCAAAUUCUAGGUAUCACAUGCAAGCACGGAAAACAGGUAAAACCUCACAGUCACAUAGCAUGUAACUCAUUCCGAAUUAGUUCAUCAACACACACAUACGAGCUUUCAAGCAAGAAUAGAUUUGCAAAAUUAAGGCAUAGAAUUACAAGCCUACAACUGAGCCUAACCAUCACACUCUUAAGCUCAUUUUAAUAAGUUGCAGGUGUCAACAUCAGGGGUCGCAAUCUAGCCUUUACCCAUUUUAGUCCUAAACUACAAAAGGAAAAAUCUACCUAACCCGGUUCAAGCAAAACCCUUAAAAAAGAACCGCGGUCAAAAGAAAAACCAAGGGGGAAUUACUACACUACCUAAAAAGGAAAAAUAAAAUAAGAAAAAGUAUCUACAUGGACUACUUCCCUCAAGAGUACUNNNNNNNNNNNNNNNNNNNNNNNNNNNNNNNNNNNNNNNNNNNNNNNNNNNNNNNNNNNNNNNNNNNNNNNNNNNNNNNNNNNNNNNNNCCCUCAAAAGUACUUGUCCAAGUGGUCUUUCAUCAGGAAGAGCCCUCUAACUAUGUUUUUGUUGUUGUUGUUGUUUUUUUUCCAGUUAUAUCUAAUACCGACUUUGACCCUCAAGAGACCCGUUGACAAGUGUCCGUCGUUGGGCCAAGUCAUCUAUAUCUAAUAAAAUCAUACUCAGCUAUGUACAACCAUUAUCUAAGACUAAAACACCAGCAAUAUUUAUACACAAUACAACAUACAGGCAGAGCAAGUCUCCCACCCCACACUUAAAUUAUGGCAAGUCCUCAUGUCAUAUACAACAAGUAAAGAGCAGAAGGGUAAGAAGACUUCCCUGACUCAAUCCGAUUCGGAGACGUUGGAGGGGUCUACAUGGCAGGCUCUCCCCAAUGCACGUAGCCAUGACAUUAAUCGUCCCUUUGACCGGGCCUGCCUCUACGACAUGGCAUCAAGCCGUGUGUGGAUACCAUCAACUGAGGUGCGCAGAUCUACGACCUUUUCUUCCAUUGAACGUAACAUUGGCCUAGUAGAUUGGGACCUGGAGAAACCUACCCCUGUAUGGGGUCGACGAGAUGGUCCGACACUAUCAACUGACCGUCUGGACAGUGCGAAGGGAUUCGGGUUUCAUCAUCAUCAUCAUCAAUUUCAAUUGUCUGUGGCCCCUGCCCACUCUGAUACGGGAGGCUCGGAAAGGUGCCUCAGGUUCCAAGGUCCUGUCAGUAGGAUUAGUGGGAACAUUCUUUCUUAAGCAUAGCUGAGUCACCAAUGAUGGGAAGUAAAACCCUUUUGACUGCAACGGUCCCCUCAAAGUCAUCUCAUCACUAAUAACCUUAGCUGCGUCAAAAUCUCUCUUGGUGAUGAAGCACCAAGUCAGUAGGGCCCUAUUGAAGUUCACAUCUGUCGUGUUACUAGACGGCAGAAACCUGCUGCAAAUCACUAUCAACUAACACUUAGCCAAGUGCGUGAGAGAAUAGGAGUGCAAAGUGAUCUGAUCCUUUAUCCACGUCGGUCUCCCCAGCACAAAUAUCGGCGAUCAUGACCUACCACGUGACAUCCGGUCGAUCGUGGUAAUAGUCAAUCUCGCCUUUGAACUUAGGCAGCUGCAAAGCCAGGCGGAUAUGGUGAAUAUAAGUAGGAACAAUCUUAUCUCGCACAAUGAGAUCCCGAGCUAGGUUCGCAGGGCAGUUCGCAUAGAACUCCCUCACAAUCAUCUUGUUGACCGGGAAGGGAUCAGCAAGUAGGAAUUCCAUCUGCCUCUUCCGGAUUUCCUCAUACAUAUCUUCCCUUUCUGAGAUGAGGGCUACUCGGUCAAUUGGAAUCUCAGGAAUGAAGUUUUUGUGCGCUUUUGCAUUAACAUCGUCCUCGGCUUGUUUCCGAGACGAACCGUGACUCAUCAUAAGUUGGUUGGCGAGAUGGACUAGCCUGUCUCCUCUGUCUCUUAGGAGCCAUAGUACCUGCAGAGAUCACACACAACCCAUUAAAUUAAGCCCAAACAGAGCCAACCUGGUGGUUACUCAAACUUCACCACCCGAUGGCUACAACAUAACAUCUCCCUUAUUAUCACCCCACACGUGCUCCUUUACCAUGGUACCACCAAUUAGAGUCCCCAUACAUUACCUAAUAAUAUACCUCACAAUUAUCACACCCCACAACACCACAACCACUCCACCAUUUUGGCCACACAAGGCCUUACACUAAACACAUCCUUCGAGCAAAAAUUAUAGGCCUCCAAAAUAUUUAUAAUGGAGGCCUAACCAGUUAAGCACGCAAUGAUCCACUAGAACAACCACAAUCAUAUACAAACAUCAACUAACAAGUAUAACAAGAAUUGAAAUUAGUUCUAUCUAGGGUUAACUUAAUCAAACUAUGAUAUAUUACACUAAAUUAGUAGUUAAAAUAAAGAGAAAUAAAGAGGAACUUACAAGGGUUGAGGAUGGGAGAGGGUUUGGGAAAGCUGGUGGAGAACUUGGGUGAGUUAAGAGUGUUGUUGGAGAGAAAAAUUGAGAAAGAAGAGAGAAUUUUUUUUAGAGAAGUGAAGAGAGAGGAAAUAUUUUGCUGGGGGGGGGGGGUUUNNNNNNNNNNNNNNNNNNNNNNNNNNNNNNNNNNNNNNNNNNNNNNNNNNNNNNNNNNNNNNNNNNNNNNNNNNNGGGGGGGGGGGGUUUAGUUUUCAGAUUUUUGGGGUUAAAGGGGUAGGUGGGGGUAAUAUGGGGAAAAUUGGGAAUUUAAAACGGUUAGGAAAAUUAAAAAAAAAACUUACCUGGCUGAAAAAUGCGGUCACCGCGGUUCUACCGCGGUCGCGGUCGGACCGCGAUAGACCAAGUUCAGAGAGCCUCACGUACCGCGGUCGCGGUGGGACUGCGGUAGACCAAGUUCAGAGAGCCUCGCAUAUCGCGGUUUAACCACGAUCACGGUGGGACCGCACGAGUAUGUAUCAGCGUGGGGUCUCUACUGCGGUGCAACUGCGGUCUGGCCCAUCUGCAGAAUCUGAUCUCUUUUUAUAUGAUUACAAGUACAACAAUAUUGUGGGUUGCCUCCCACGCAGCGCCUGAUUUAACGUCGCGACAUGACUUAGAUGAGUGCAUGUACGACUCGCUUAACCUCUGAGGCUCAUUCAAGUGAAGCGCAGUUCCUUGCUUUAAUUCGUUCAUUCCCAUGUACAAUUUCAACCACUGACCAUUGACUCUAAAUGUGCGAGAGUCAUCCUCAGAAGCAACUUCAACAGCUCCAGACGGGAGGACUUCAACCACCCGAAAUGGUCCAGACCAUUGUGAUUUUAUCUUAGCCAUGUAAAACCGCAAUCUUGAGUUAUAUAACAGUACCCUGUCCCCAGAUUUUAAGGUUCACUCCACAAUGUGCUGAUCAUGUAGCCUCUUCAUUCUUUCUUUUUACAGUCUCGUGCUCUCAAAAGCAAGAUGUCAGAACUCAUCCAACUCAUGCAAUUCUGUGAUCGUAGAUGAGCCUGCUACCUCCAUGUCAAUAUUUAGCUGUUUCAGUGCCCACCACGCUCUGUGCUCAAGUUCUAUCGACAGGUGACAGGCCUUGCCAAACACCAACUUGUAUGGAGACAUACCAAUUGGUGUUUUGAAUGUUUUUCUAUACGCCCAGAGUGCAUCAUCUAACUUUCUUGCCCAAUCUGUUCUUGUAGUGAUUACUGUUUUUGUCAACACACUCAUAUCUCUAUGUUGGAGACCUCCACAUGUCCACUAGUUUGCGGGUGGUACGCAGUAGCCACCUUGUGGCGCACAUCAUAUUUUGCCAACAACUUCUCAAAUGCUCUGUUGCAGAAAUGAGUGCCCCUGUAACUUAUUAUCGCCCGUGGUGUCCCAAAGCGGGUGAAUAUGUUUUUCUUCAGAAACCCCACAACCACCUUUGCAUCAUUGGUGGGUAAUACUGUCACUUAUUAUUGCAUGUGGUGUCCCAAAGCGGGUGAAUAUAUUUUUCUCCAGAAACUCCACCACCACUUUUGAAUCAUUGGUGGAUAAUGCUACAACUUCCACCCACUUGGACACAUAAUCCACAACAACAAGAAUGUACUUAUUGCCGUAAGAGCUAACGAAGGGACCCAUGAAAUCUAUCCCCCAAACAUCAAAUACUUCAACCUCCUGAAUUGGGUUUAUGGGAAUCUCGUGGCGCCGGGAGAUGUUCCCGGUGCGUUGAAAUUCAUUACAAAUAUUUACCCAUGUGUGAGCAUCUUUGAACACUGUUUGCCAGAAAAAUCAGGCCUCACGCACCUUUGCUGCAGUUCUCACUCUUCCAAAGUGUCCCUCAUAAGCCGAUGCAUGACAUGCCUGCAAAAUAGAAGAUUGUUCCAUCUCGGAGACGCAUCUCCGGAUCAUGUUAUCCAGGCAUAUUCUAAACAGAUAGGUCUCAUCCCAAUAGUACAUACGGCUUUCACGAAAGAACUGCUUCCUCUGGACCGAAGACAGGUCGUGAGGAGCUAUACCACAAGCUAGGUAGUUGGAAAAAUCCGCAUACCAUGGUGCUUCUAGAUGGUUAGCCACGAGCAAUUGCUCGUCUGGAAAGGUUCCAGAAUGUCCUCAACCUCAAUUAUGUUUUCAGCUCCCUCAAGUCGUGAUAGAUGAUCAACAAUUUGGUUCUCGGUGCCCUUUCGGUCACGUAUCUCAAGGUCAAACUCCUGUAGCAACAACACCCAACGAACCAGGCGUGUCUUAGAGUCUUUCUUCUCUAUCAGGUAUCUAAGAGCUGCAUGGUCAAUGUAUACAAUUACCUUCUGUCCUAUCAAGUAGGACCGGAACUUGUCAAAUGCAAACACCACAACAACAUCUCCUUGUCGGUCCAAGUGUAAUUCAGUUGGGCCCCAUUCAGCGUUCUACUAGCAUAGUAGAUUGGAUGCAUCAAUUUGUCCUUCCUCUGGCCCAGCACUGCCCCCUGCAUAGUCACUAGCAUCACACACUAGCUCGAAAGGUUGCUUCUAGUUGGUGGCAAUAGUGAUUGGUGUUGUGACCAGCCUUUGUUUCAGCUCCUCAAAAGCGACCCUGCAAGCAUAAGAAAAUACAAACUGGUUAUCUUUUUCUAAAAACUUAAAGUGAGGGUUGGCGAUUUUGGAGAAGUCGUUAGUGAACCGUCGGUAGAAAUCGGCAUGUCCAAUAAAGCUUCUGAUUGCUUUUACCGAAGUUGGCGGAGGCUGCUUUGCUAUGACAUUGACUUUGGAUCUAUCUACCUCUAUUCCAUUUCUUGACACUCGGUGCCCCAAGACUAUGCCUUCUUGUACCAUGAAAUGGCACUUCUCCCAGUUCAGCACCAGAUUAUUCUCGAUGCACCUUUUCAACACACGUGUCACAUUCACAAGACACUCAUCAAACAAAUUCCCCACCACCGAGAAAUCAUCCAUGAAAACCUCCAUAAUGUCUUCAACCAUAUCAGUGAAAAUGGCCAUCAUGCACCGUUGGAAUGUGGCGGGUGCAUUGCAAAGUCCAAAGGGCAUCCUCCUGGAGGCAUAUAUGCUGUAGGGGCAAAAUAAGGUCUUCUCUCAGUCCUUAGUGCAUUAGAGGUAUGGUCGUACCCUGAGUACCCAUCGAGGAAGCAAAAGUGCGACUCCCAGCCAGUCUGUCCAACAUCUGGUCAAUGAAGGGAAGUGGAAAGUGGUCUUUCCGGGUGGCAAGAUUCAGCUUUCUAUAAUCCAUGCAUAUCCUCCAGCCAGUGACGAUUCUAGUAGAGAUUAGCUCGUUAUUGUCAUUCUUCACCACCGCCAUGCCACCCUUAUUAGGCACACACUGAACUGGGCUAACUCAGCUGCUGUCAGAGAUGGGAAAGAUGAUUCCUGCAUCUAACCAUUUAAUUACCUCCUACUUCACCACUUCCGUCAUGUUUGGAUUCAGCCUCCUUUGAUGUUCCCUGGAAGGUCUGUGUCCCUCUUCCAGCAGAAUCUUAUGCAUACAAUAGGCGGGGUUGAUCCCCUUGAUAUUUGCCAUGGUUCAUACGAUGGUAGUUUUGCAGUCCUUCAGUACCUGUAAAAGCUGUUGCACCUGCACAUCUAGCAAACCAGAUGAGAUAAUAACAGGUAAAGUGGAGUUUGGACCCAGAAAUUCAUACCUGAGGUGAGCUGGCAAUGGCUUUAGCUCCAGCUUCGGUGUUCUUCAAUUGACGGUUUAGCCGGAGAACUCUCUCUCUUUUCCUAAUACCUGAGGUAUGCUGGCAAGGGCUUUAGCUCCAGCUUCGUUGUUCUUCAAUGGACGGUUUAGCUGGAGGACUCUCUCUUUUCUCCAAAUGUAGGGGUUCAAAUUCAAGCUUUCUAUCUCAGAACCCCUUACCUUCCAACGCCAACACCCAUUCUGCCAACUCCUCACCAUUAGCCUCCUCCAAAUUUGACAGACAUGCAGCCAAGGGAUCCUCCACCGGCAAUAUAUCAUCAUCAGACUGCACUAUGAUGUCUACAACAUCAUUGAGAGAGCAAUUAGCGAACUCACUUGGACGUCUCAUCGAUUUUUGCACAUUAAAAAUAAUCUCUUCAUCAUUGAGCCUCAUUUUAAGCUCCCCAGUUUCACAAUCAAUCGAGGCUCUCCCAGUUGCUAAGAGUGGUCUUCCUAAAAUGAUAGGAAUUUCCUCUUCUACUUUGCAAUCCAAGAUUACAAAAUCUGCAGAAACACGAAUUUCCCCACCUGAAUAAGAACAUCAUCUAGGAUCCCAAAUGAACGCGUUACAGUCCUGUCAGCCAGCUGCAAUAACAUAGGGGUGGGUCUAGCUCUCCUGAUGCCCAACCUCUUGUAAACAACCAAGGGCAUAAGAUUAAUGCUGGCCCCUAAGUCACAGGGCGCCCUUGAAAAUGCAUAAUUCCCAAUAGUGCACGGGAUGGUAAAACUCCCCGGAUCAGAGAUAUUUUCAGCAACCGGUCUAGUUACCACUGCACUACAAGUCUGCAUGAGAGUCACUGUGGCCAAGUCUUGGAAGUCAAACUUCCGAGACAUAAAAUUUUUCAUCAUCUUUGCGUACCCAGGCAUUUCCUUUAAUGCUUCAAUCAAUGGAAUCUUUACCUGAAUUUGUUUGAGCAUGUCAAAGAACUUCUUGUAUUGCUCUUCCUUUUGGUGCUUGGACAAUAUCUAUGGGAAUGGUUCAUGGGGUCUUUUCUUCCCAAUUACUUGGGACUUUUCUUUCUCAACCAUUGCCUCCUCCACUGGCUCUACUACUGUUUCAGCGAUUUCUCACUCUCUUGCUGCACAAUCUGAUUUUCAGGAACAGGCUGGACUGUCACAUCUGUCAGCCUUGUUGAUUCAUCCAGCUCAAUAGGUACCUGAAUGAGUAUCUCAGCCUACCUAUUCUCACGAGCUCUUUCUUGCUCAACAUCAAGAUCUCUACCAUUUCGGAGACUUACCGCCACUAACUGCUUCGGGACCUGAUCUUUGGGGUAGGUCUGAGUUUCUGCAGGCAACGUCCCUUGAGGACGGUUAUUCAAAGACAUAGAAAUCUGUCCCACCUGCACUUCAAUGUUUUUACCAGCCGCCUCGUGUGCAUCUACCCUCUCAUUUAUCUUUGCAUUGGACCCGAUCACUUGCUGCAUCAUUGCUUCUAGCCUAGAGAACCCAUCUUUUUGUCUCCCACCAUGCUGUUGCUGAGGUGGGUGGUACCCUUGCUGCUGAUUAUUAUACCCUUGCAGCCUAGGAUAAGGUGCCAUGUUGUUGGGGGGUCUCAUACCCCAUAUUACCUGCAUUGUAAUGUGGCUGUAGUGGCCUGUACUGCUGCUGAGUUUGCUGGCCCCAGUUCUGAUUACCUUAGGGGGUCUCAUGCCUCCCAUAUUUCCGCCAUUGUAUUGUGGCUGCGGUGGCCUGUACUGCUGCUGAGCAUGUUGGCCCCAAUUCUGGUUUCCUUGCCUCUGACUUCCAUAAUUUGCCACAUAACUCAUAUUUUCAGGUUGCUGAUGAUGAUGGUCAUGCUCCACAUUCCAUGUAUUACCAAUUGGCUGACUGAUGCAAGAUGUGCACAAGACCCCAUUGGUAGUAUCCUCUAUAUGUACCUGCUGCUUUUGUCCCGACUCCUCCACCUUCUUGGUGAGGAUGCUCAUCUGUGUUAAAAGAGUCUCCACAUUCUCAGCCAUGGUGUUGGACGGAUCAAGAGGUACUGAAUGCACCACCGGAGUGAUAGGUGCAUUUCUGGUUGUCCAACCUGAACUCUGAGCCAUUUUAUCCAGCAGCUAUAGUGUUAGAUGGAUCAAGAGACACUGAAUGUACCACCAAAGUGAUAGGUGCGUUUCUAGUUGUCACCCUGAAUUCUGCGCCAUUUUAUCUAGCAGGUUAUGUCCUUCUCUCCAUGUCUUGCUCAAAAAUGCCCCACCAGCUGAGGCAUCCACAAUAUUUUUCAUGCUGUUAGAAAGUCCCAUGUAAAACCGCUAUCCCAACAUCUGCUCUGGAAUACCAUGAUGGGGACACAUCACCAACAUUCCAUUGAAUCUUCCCCAUAUCUCGUGCAAAGUUUCCAUAGGUUUAUGUUUGAAGCUCACAAUCUCAUCAAUUUGCUGUGAUGUUUUGUUGGGCGGAUGGAACUUGUUGUGAAACUGUUUGACUAACUCAUCCCAGGUUUCAAUGGAGUUUAUGGGGAGUGAGUUGAGCCAAAUCUGAGCAGCUCCUAUCACAGAGAAAGGAAACAUUGUCAGAAAGUACCAUGUAAAACCGAUGUCCCAACAUCUGCUAUGGAAUACCAUGAUGGGGACACAUCACCAACAUUCCUUUAAAUCUUCCCCAUGUCUCGUGCAAAGUUUCCAUAGGUUUCUGUUUGAAGCUCACAAUCUCAUCAAUCUGCUGUGUUGUUUUGUUGGGCGGAUGGAACUUGUUGUGAAACUGUUUGACUAACUCAUCCCAGGUUUCAAUGGAGUUUAUGGGCAGUGAGUUGAGCCAAAUCUGAGCGGCUCCUAUCAUAGAGAAAGGAAAUAACAGCAGCCUGAUUGCUUCCGGGGUCACGUUGGGCUGCCUCUGAGUUUUGCAUAUAGACAGGAAAUUCUUUAUGUGUUGUUGAGGGUCUUCUACCCUCGUUCUAGAAAAAAUCCCUUGUUUUGCAACAAGUGCAGCAUAUUAUUUGUAAUCUGGAAUGUCUAGAAAAAAUCCCUUGUUUUGCAACAAGUGCAGCAUAUUAUUUGUAAUCUGGAAUGAUUCAGCCUGUAUCGCUGGCACAACAAUGGCAGUUGCCAAAUUAUCCGAAGUCGGUUGUGCCAGGUCAUAAAGUGCACCCUCUGGCACAAGAGGUGUCGCCACUCCACCAUUUACGUUUACUUGCUCUUUUCUGCCGUCUCCGUUGGGGUCAAUUACGCCGUCCAUUUCAAUGUCGAGUUUGUCUGUCUCUUGAGAUGGUUGAAGUCUUCUGUUAGCACGGUUUAGUGCCCGGAAUAUCUUUUUAGGGAAUGAGAGUCCUUCAAGUAAUUCUACAGUCUUUGUAGAGUUUCUAGGCAUACAUCUGUGCCACCAAGUCAACCGUCAAAAGUUUCAAUCAAAAUUGGGUGUAAAGAAACUAGCUACACCAAGUUUUUUUUAACUCUAGCAAUGACAAUUGAUAAUUACGUUAACUCCCCGGCAAUGACGCCGAAAUUUGAUCACUCCCAAAGUAUGCCCUUUAAAAGGACUUUGCGGACGUUGCAAAAAAACCCAAGUAUUAUGCCUAGGGUCAAAUCCACAGAGAGUUAACCUAUCAAAUACCACCUUAAGACCCACUCAAAUUCUCAAGACCAGCUUCCCAAAACUUUCGAAUCACACUUGGAGGAUUAAUUACUAACUAAUAUUUGGAGUAAACUAACAAGCUAAAAUUAGACUAACUAAAGUUGUAAACAGUAUGAGAGAGAUGCUAACGUCAAGACUUUCCCUAUUGAUGGAAUCCCUUCUGUUUAUGCUUCAUACAAAUUUACCAACAGUUCUAUAUCAAAAAUGAACUUAGCCUAUUAUGAAUUUCUUCCGAAUAAUCACAAUAAUAUACUAUUGCACUCUCCCGAGUUACACUAGCUAGCUUUAGUUAAACAGUUCAUUUAAUAUUGCACCAAGGCUUUGUUAUUCCUAAACCCUCCUUUAAACGCGCAGUUAUAGAUUCCUCUUAUUACUUUAGGAGUGGUGUUAUUCAACAACAACUUAAACAUGCACUCUUUUCCAAGUUAUGCACACUAAAUAAGCACAGCUAAUUGAGGAUCCUGUCAAUUAACUACAACAAGAACAUAGUUGAACAAAUAUAGAUUAAAACCGGCAACCUUUCAUUAACAUAAACUAGAAGUUCAUCCCUCAAUAGGUUCCAUCAAGACUUUAGACAAAGGAUUUAACUACUCAUAACUAUGGGCAAACAAAAUAAACUAAGAUUCAACAUAAUAAAAAUCAAAGGGAAAGAGAAAAUAGGUUUGAGCUAUUCUCACACACUUAUUUUUCCUUCCAAGAACUCAAAAUAAUCAAUACAUGCCUUCUUUGGACGAAACAUAGUGACUAAUAUAGGUUUUAGGGCUAAAAUUUCACGUUUUGGACACAAUUGCCCUUGACCUUUCGCACGCCUACCGCGGUUCUACCCGGGAGAAACCUAGUGACUAAUAUAGGUUUUAGGGCUAAAAUUUCACGUUUUGGACACAAUUGCCCUUGACCUUCCGCACGCCUGAUAGAACCGCGGCCAAACGACCCCUCUAAAAUCAAUGUAAUCUGCAGCUGUAUCCCACCUCGGUUCUGUCACGGUCGCGGUAGAUCUGCAGUAGGCGAUCUUCUUGAAUUCUGGACCUAUUUUUGACGUGGGAGUUUGCAUGGUUGGCCUCUUUUCUUCAUUUCCUUGACUCAAAAAGUACUUCUCGCCUUCCUAGUUGUUUAUAGCCUGAAAAACACGAAAAGCACCCAUAAGAGCAUUUUUGCUAACACUUUUAAUAUCAAAACAGUACAAGAAUUUAUGGGUACAGGACGUUAUCAGGGAAGCUACGACCUGUCUAUCAUUGCACGAGCCAUACAUCGGCGUGGUCACAACCAUUUAUCGCCAACUCAUCCGAUUUACACCUAUAAAUACUAAGAAAAAGAACCUUAAAGGGGGCUUCUUCUUCUUCACCACUUCUCCCAAGAAAAGGGGAACACACAACAAUACCCUACGAGAGGCAUAAAGAACACCAUUGUAAGGCGUUGAACCUCUCUACGAGAGGCAGACCAAACUAAUAUCAUCAAUAAAAAGCUCUUCACAUAUUUCUCCUUAAUUUCAAAAGCUUGCCUUUCUUUUAUUUCGUUUGGUCUCUUGAUUUAUUACGAUCUGCUAUGAUUGGCCCUCAAUUUAUCGUGAUUGUUUUAUGCUUAUAAAGUGUGUGAGAACUUUGGGAUAAAUAAUUUGCCGCCGUCUGUGGGAUUUCAUAGCAGAAUCCGGUAGUUCUUUCUUGGACCAAAAGGAAAGAACUGCCAGAAAAGUAACCCCGCUCGCACAAGCCAGAGCAGCAUGUCGGGUAAAAGGAAGAAGAAGUACAAGAGGAAGCAAAAGUUAGUCCCCUCCCCACGGGGAUAGCACAUAUAAGGUACCCUCACCUCCCCGAUACAGGAUCCUGCCAAAAGAAAAAAUGGCACAAAGGCAUCUCGAAUCGAGAUCCAUAACAGGGCAACCUUUACAAACCCUCCCCGAUACAGGAUCCUGCCAAAAGAAAAAAUGGCACAAAGGCAUCUGGAACCGAGAUCCAUAACGGGGUAACCUUUACAAACUAGUCGAAAAGACUACACACAAAUCGUGCAAGAUCUCAAAUUAAAGCCAAUCUCAAACACCCUACACACAGUGGGUUAUAUGAGAGGAAAAAGUUUAAUUACAAGUUGAAUUGGGACUCAGGCCAUGCGCCUUCGCCAUAAAAAAUUACAAGAUUCAAUCACAGUUGAACAACGAAUCAGGCUACGUGCCUUCACCGAAAGUUAAACUGGGACUCAGGCCAUGCUCCUUCGCCAUAAAAAAUUGCUAGAUUCAACUACGGUUGAACAACGUCUAAGGCUACAUGCCUUCACCAAAAGUUCAACUACAUGUUGAACUGGGACUCAGGCCAUGCGCCUUCGCCAUAAAAAAUUGCAAGAUUGAACCACGGUUGAACAACGACUCAGGCUACGUGCCUUCACCAAAAGUUCGACUACAAGUUGAACUGGGACUCAGGCCAUGCGCCGUUGCCAUCAAAAAUUGUAAGAUUCAACCGCGGUUGAACAAAGACUUAGGCUACUUGCCUUCACCGAAAGUUCAACUACAAGUUGAACUAGGACUCAGGCCACACUCCUUCGCCAUCACGAGCCCAAUAUCGAUCAAACAAUAAGGCCGAACGCCUUCGUCCACAAGUCUAAAGAGUUCAACCCUGUUUGAGCCAAAACUCAGGCCAGAUUCCUCCACCAUUGGACGCAGCAAGGCCUACCCCACAACGGAUAGAGAGACAAGUUAAGCUCCCUCACCAUUCAACUAAGUACGCCCAACUCGAACUAAAAUUCGGGCCACGUAAAGUUCGGCCCCGGUCGAAACACAAGGCCACUUUUCUUACUAUCGCGGCCAAUAGUUUGACCACGCCCGAACUGGAACUGAGGCUAAGUGCCGCUAUCGCCAAAUAAUGGCCACAACGUGUUUACACCAAGUAAAAGAAAACGAUAAGCAAAAAAUGCUUAAUCAUGGCCAAAGCCAUCACCGCUAAACAACCAACCUAGUUUCUGACUAAGGCAAGAAAAUGACCCGACAACAGUCGAAGUCACCUACCUAGCCAAGGCCACCAUUAUCAUGGUCAAGGCCAUCGACAUUAUUAUGACCAAAGACAUAAGGGGAUUAACACACCUUCCAGAAAACUGAGGCAAAGCGCCCUCCCCCUUUGUCAAUGUGUACCAAAAGAAAAACUUGGUAACAAGAAAGAGACAAAAUAAACACCAGGAAGAAUAGAGGAAAAUAAAGUUGCAUAUAUUUACAUUUAUAAGUCACAACGGGUCAUCCCAGCUUACACCCGGCCAAGGCCGAUGAGAAAGGAUAGAAAGAACAAAAAAAAAUGAAGCUAGCCAUACGACAACGAAAACAAAGACAUAACAAAUCCUUUUCACUCAGCGCCACCCGCACCACCAUCAGCAUCACCAACGCCUUCAGCGCCAUCAUCAACCCCUGGCAUAGCUGGAUCAAAUGCGCAGUCACACGGGCCUCACGAGCCUUUUGACGGGCUUCUUCAAAAGAGGCUUCAGGCACAAUGCCGGACUCCCACAAUAUCUUGUAUACAUCAAGUUGGGCCUCGGUAAACGUCCAAAGAUCAUGAGCCGGGACGAAAGAGGCAGCCUGAUCCCUCAAGCGCUGAUUCUCGACCUCUAAGGCCGUAAUUCGAUCCGCCGUAGUCUGGGCGUCCCGUUUAUAAAUACCAAUGCGAUCCUCUAGCGCCCCCUCUCGAAAGGCCGCAAUAGCCCUCUCUAGCUCACGUUCCCUUUCACGAAUGCGAUCCACCUCUCCAACGUCCCAACCGGCGACAAGGCAUCCCUUGCUUCCAGUCAAGGUAAUGGCCUCGCCCUCCAAAGAAACCACCUGCCUGGUCAAGGUCUCACAGGCCUCUGCCGCCCCUAACCCAAUCCUGGCAUUCCCUCUCAAUAGCAGCCCUCCUCUCGGCCUCUAUCGCCUCGUCUGUAUGACGAAGCUGCUCCUUAAGGGUGUUAACCCUGCAGAGGGUCUGCUGCAUUUGAAGUUCUCGCCUCGCCAACUCUUCGACAAGGUCCCGACUCCAGGGGUCGUUCCUCAGGUGCUCACACAUCCUGCGGCAUGGAUACCAAUAGCGGAGGCACUUCCCCAACGCCCGUGAAUAGUUCCCUGAGCGAACGUUAGCUCGGCGGAUGCUCUCCACCUCCAACAAAAAUAACUACAAGAACAAAGCGACAAUCAGAACAGAAAAAUAGACUAAGUAAAAAAAGGACAAACUAAGGUCACUGCACGUACCUUCAGGUCCUGCACGACCACUUCACCCAUCAGCCCGAUGUCCGUUAUGCCCCUCAGCGACGUACUUUCCACCUCCGAGCACAACACCUCGAACAACGGCACCAAGUUCUCCUCUUGAAGCAGCAAGUUCUGCUUCGUAGGAAUCUCAAAAUAACAGAACCGCCCUUCCGCUUGCACAAUUGUGCGGGUGAGGAAUUCUUGAAGCAUACAGAUGUCGUCAUGGUCUAUGUCGGACUCGGAGUCAGACUCUUCGCCUACGACGCCCCUUCCUCCUUCCGCAGACUGAGAAGUUGAGACUCCUGCCCCCACCAACAUAUUGGUACUUGUUUCUUAACAAAACCAUUUGUUGAGGAACUACCUCCCCUCUCAGCAACUGGAACUGCCCGAGCCAACCAGGGCAACCCCCUUUAUGUGCCCUCCCUCAAGGGAAGGUGCCUCCACCACAUUCCCCGCGUUCGAUUGCGGGGAAUCCAAGUUUAUCACUACCGGAGCUGGCGUAAAUGCAACUCUUCGCCUGACCAGCGGCCUCUCCCCCUCCUCCUCAUCCUCGCUCAGAGGCGACUCCACCCUAGGGCGUAUGAUCCCCGAAGAGUCUUCGGCCUAAGAUGUAGACCAUGCUGGGGAAUGAGCCGCUGAAGAUUCAACUGAAGUCGCCCUCGGAACUGGAAGUGGCGCCGGCAUUUUCACGAGUUGUGCGGACGUGCCCGGCCUGCAAAAAGCUAGCUGAGGGGCCCUCAUGCGGCGUGCCCUCCGUAUGAAAGAAAGAACGAAGUUGAGAAGAUGCCAAAUAGAAUAAAACAAGAACGGGACAAAAGGAAGCUAAAAUUCUCACCAGAAGCAGGUCUACGACCAUGCCUUUCCCAGAAAGACGGCCACGUACUAAUCCUGGUCGUUUGAGGGAGCACAACCUCUACCCAUUCUUGAAUGCCGGGUAGUGGAGCCAACGGUGGCCGUUCAGCUAGAAACAUGAGGCAAAGUUAACACUUAUAAAAACCAGGCAUGAGAAAAGACAGUAAGUAGAAUUUGACAAAUAAAUGACUUACAUGCAUGGGUCCAAGUCUCUGGAACUCAGUAGCACACGCCACCAAAUGCUUGGUCCUGAUGUAGAAGAAAUUCUCAUAAGUGGUAGAAUCGACCACAUCAUCUAACUUUUAGCAGUCAAGCCCCUCGCCCCACAAGGAACCGCCCGACUCAUAGUACCACGGACCCUCUGAGGGGCUUAGAGAGUCAGCACGUGCCGCAAUGUGAUCUCCCUUAGGGCCAGUUCCGCAUAUUUAAUGAGCAUAGCGAAAAGCUUGAAGAGGGAGGGAAUGAGAUGACCAGGGCACACCCUAUAAUAACAGCAGAAGUCCACCACCAACAUCGGAAUAGGGACCAGAAUCCCAAUGUAAAAGGAUAAGCGUAGAAAACACAAUACCCUUUACGGUCGAAGUGGACCCUCUCCUCGCGUUUAGCGAGGGGAAUAUCAGUGAAGCGGGGAAUGCCCCAGUGUUCCCGUAAUCGUAGGGCUUCAUUUACCUGAUCUUUCCCCUCAUAGGCGGUGAAAUCAAUCGUCGGACCUCCGGGCAAUGUGAGGAUAUCGAUCACCGACGGAAUCAUAUCAAGUUCUUCCGAUCCAGUGACUCUCACUGCUGUAGAUGACCCUUCAGCCACCGGAAUAGUUGCCGGAGCAAGGGUGGUGCGGGAGCUGCAUGCCAUUAUUGAUUGAUAAACGAGAAAAGAAUAAGAUUCACAGAAAUAAAAGCAAAGAUGGUGUCGAACGAAGAAGAACGAAGAACAAGAAAGACGAUGAACUGAUAAAUAGGAAGCUUCUUUAGAAAUCUUAGACAAAAGAUGGAAACAUAAGAGAUGAAUAACACAAACCCUUAUUUAUAGAUAACACAAGUGGCUUUCUUGAAUUCCAAUAUCCAUCAUUAACUACUUGACCAACCGCAAAGCGGUUAAGUUCUACAGAAACUUGUGUCAUUAUGACGAGCACCACGAAACAACUUUUCAAUUGCCAACUGAUGCUCUGCCUUUGAAACGGUUAUAACGACCUUAGAUUAUUGAAAAGACUUUCCGUACGUCCUCAAACUUCAGGCAUAGCAGAGCAGCGUGCUAGGCGCGCCCAUAUUUUCUUCGGUCGCGCGACAUACUACUCGAUCGCCGAAAAUAAGGUUAACACCUUACAAGGCCGAAGGCCGUCUGUAUGAAGAUAUCUCCUCGGAUGAAAAAUGUUACGACCAUUCCCCAUAUACAAACGGCUACGGCCAUUCCAAACGCAUACACGGCAACGACCAUCUCCCAUGAAUGAACAGUUAAUACCUUCAACGAAAUACAACUAAGGUCACCGAGUUGACUCCAUUGCGGCUAAGGCCGUCAACACAAAAGGUCUAAGGCCAUCGAUUUUAACGAUACAACUUUCAAUGAUAACCGGCCAUGGCCACCUUCGGUCCCGACCAAGGUAGUAGGCGAUAGUGUCCGCUCAUCAAGCUCGGCCAGGGCAUGACCUCAAUAAGCGGAGGGACUAACUGUAUAGGCCAAAAUUUGACCCCCCAACAAUUAUCGGUAUUAAUUAUUUCAAAGCCAAAGUGUAAAUUACAAGUGGUGUGACCACUUGUAAUCAUUAAUAAUUUGUGGGUACGGGACGUUAUGAGGGAGGCUACGACAUGUCUAUCAUCCCACGAGCCAUAUAUCAGGGUGGUCAUGCCCACUUAUCGCCAGCUCAUUCAAUUUACACCUAUAAAUACUAAGAGAAGAACCCUAAAGGGGGCUGCUUCUUCUUCUUCACCACUACUCCCAAGAAAAGGGGAACACGCAACAAUACCCCUACGAGGGUCAUAAAUAAUGCCAUUGUAAGGUGCAGAACCUCUCUACGAGAGGCAGACCAAACUAAUAUCAUCAAUAAAAAGCUCUUCACAUAUUUCUCCUUAAUUCCAAAAGCUUGCCUUUCUUUUCUUUCGUUUGGUCUCUUGAUUUAUUACGAUCUGCUAUAAUUGGCCCUCAAUUUAUCAUGAUUGUUUUACGCUUAUAAAUUGUGUGAGAACUUUGCGCUAAACAAUAGCUUUUUAGGGUUUUUUAAAUUUUUGAAAAAUUUCAAAAUUUAUAUUCUAAUGAAACUUAAAAAUUUUAUGGCCAAAUACUGAUUUCGAAAUUAUAUUAAUGUCCAAAAACUUGUGUACCAAUGAGUAUGAUUUCUUAUUUCCAUGGCCAAACUAGGUAAAUUAGUAAAAGUGAACAGAACUUUAACUUAAACGCGGGUGCAAAAAAUCUCAGUCAGCUUGUUGGGAUGGCUGUUACGUAUCGUUUCAUAAUGUAUCGUAUCGUAAUAUAUUAUAUUGAACUAUAUCGUUUGAUAAAUAUAAUAUUUGGAUAAAUUGUAUCGUUUGCUAUUGUUUCAUGAUAUCAUACCAGCAAUAUAAAAAAUAAACUUGUAAUAUUAUAAAGAAAAAUUAUAAUACAGAGUAAAAUUAUUAUAUAAAAAGGAAGGAUAAAUGAUAAAAUAAAAUUAUUUUAUAAUAACGAAGAGUGAGAUUGAGAGAAAAAAAUAAGUAACGACGCGAUCACAUCAAAUCGAUCGUUACAUAAAGUGACACAUUCGUCAUUAUGUAACGACAAAUUUAACGAUACGAUACAAUAAAAUUUAAGUAACAAUCAAAACAAAUAUCAUAUUUAAUGUAAUAGUACGAUACAAUACAAUGGGUAACAACCAUCUAAAUAAGCUGUAAAGGAGAGAGAAAAAACUUCUAUCUUAAAUAUUGUAUCGAUCUAAAAAAUAAAGAGAAAUUGGAGAUAAUUCAUUAAAAAAUUGCAUAUGGAUUUUUCUUUAAAAGUAAUAAAUAUUGAAAAAGGAAAAAUGAACUUGGUCCUUUUUAAAUCAUCCACCUGGCUGAAAAUAUGAUUCCUACUUACAUGCUUAUAAUAAAAGAAAAAUAAAAAAUAAAAAAUAAAAAAUAAAAAAGAACAAGAGUCCUAACGCGAUCUCUACGCCUUUUCACAACAACAACUACUAGCAUACUCCCAUCAGGUAGGGUCUGAGGAGAGUAAUAUGUAGACAAGCCUUACCCCUACCCGAAAGGACAGAAAACCUGUUUCCAAUCGAACCCCGGCUCAUAGGAUAAAAGGAAAAAUAGCAGUAAAAUAAAAACAAAGACAAAAACAAAAACAAAAAUAAUAGAGCACUGUACCCAUUAUUAUUAUUAUUAUUAUUAUUAUUAUUAUUAUUAUGCACCCCGGGCUGGACUCUACUGAAUCUCCUCAUUUUUACUGCUCAAAAAGUUGAAUGAGGGAACUUCCCAAUUCUGAUCUUUAACUAAUUACUUCUACUUCUAACCUACUCCAUGAUUCAUCCUCACUUUAAAAAAUCUAUCUUUUUCUUUUUCAAAAUAGAGUGCAUUUAUAGCAGAGUAUGUGUAGGCUGCUGCUUUCUGUUCUCUUCUAAUCUUUAAAAAACCUUAGCUUCAGAUCUCUCACUUGUCUACUGAGGACUGAGGGGAGCUCCUCUGCUUUCUUGGUAAUGAACUAAAGUUUUGAUCUUUUUAUAAUUUUACUGUUUUUGUAUUUUGCUGCAAUGGUUUUGGUUUUCUGUGUAGCAGUGAUCCAAACUUUAUUGUUUCAAUUUCUUGUUAUUUGAUGAAGUUUUCAUCUUUUUGGUGUACCCUUUUGUUUUCUUUAACUCUGUGGAUCAAUGAGUAUGAUUUUCUUUUGAAUAUUCCGAGAUCUGUAUUUGUGGUUUCUUGUUUCGGAGAAUUCAGUUCAUUAUUAAAGUAUGUUAAUUGCUUGAUGCACUCUCUGCUUUAUGUUGUUAGAUUUGCUCUUUUACCAUUUUUCUUAAAAUGUCCCAUAUAAGUUUCAACUUACCGAUCUCUAGCCAAUAUUCCAAAAAUAGAAACAAACAAGGAAUUGUUUUAAUGGGUAUAGUGGAAAUUCAUUGAAAACAUAUAAAUAAGUCAAUAUACAAAAUUUGAGUAAGAUUGGAGUUGAUUUGGACUGUUUUUGUAUCAAAAUUCAUAAUUAAAUCGAUGUCAAAAAAUUCUUCUGUGACAUAUGUAUCAAACAUGUAUCACGCAUGUAUCUCACACACAGAUAUACAUGUGAUACACAAUCGAUACAAUAUGAUACAUAUGUGUGUUUCUUGUUUCAGAGAAUUCAGUUCAGUAUUAAAGUAUGUUAAUUGCUUGAUGCACUCUCUGCUUUAUGUUGUUAGAUUUGCUCUUUUUACCAUUUUUCUUAAUGCUUUUCAAGCAGAAGUCAGAAUUAUGGUGAUUUAGUCUUUAUUGAGUUCUUUGAUAAGAUGUUAACUUCAUUGUGAAUAUUAGUCCCAGGGCAGCUGUUACAUGAAGCAAGUGAUAGGUUAAAGAAGAUUUGUCUUGUAGUAUGAAGACACUUAGUUCUUGUUAUUCGAUAAAGUUUUCAUCUUUUGUGUUUAUCCUUUUGUUUUCUUUAACUUUGUAGAUCAAUGUACAUGAUUUUCUUUGAAAAGGUUUACUUAAUGUUUAAAAAGAUCUGAGACUGGUGAUUUCUUAUUUCAGACUUCACUGAAUUUAGUUAGUUAUUUGAAUCUGUUAAUCACUUGAUGCACUUACUAUUUUGUCUCCUAAAUUAUUAGCAAGCAGAUCUUUUUGUUAAAUUUGCAGUCAGUUUUAUGGUAAUGUUAGUAAAUUUUCUCGUUUCUUUAAUGAAAUCUUGAUAUCAGUGUGGAUAGUUAUCUCAUGUUUGGUUGGGAUAAAAUCGUGGUAUAACUCAUCUCGGGAUUAGUUGUCCCGGGAUUAUUGUAUUUUUUUUAUUCCUUUAGGAGAGUGGAAUAACUAAUCCCAAGAUAAUUAAUGCCAGGAUAAUUAAUUAUGGGAUUACUUGUUUCUCAACCAAACGACCCCUAAGAAGGAGGUUAAAGAAGCAUUUGUGUUCUAAAAUAAAGAUUAAAUCUUGAAUAUUUGUAAAAAUAAAACUAUAAUGAAUUCCUCCUUUUGUGCAAUUAGAUUUUAUUAGGUUUCUUUGAGUUUGCUUCCCUUGAGUAUUUCCAACGAGCUGUUACUAUUCGACUGUCAAGAGCCAAUGAGUUGCCUGUGUCAUGAACCUUAGUGGAUGUGAAGCUACUGUUCCUCUUGGCUUGAGAUGAUUAUAUGAAACUUCCUUUUAGAAGAAAAGUAUCUUUUGUAUCCUGGAAAUUGCUCGAAAUUCUAACUUCUUUAUGCUACAGGGAACUUCUGGUGCUGCCGCAAGCACAUAAUGGCAUCCAAGUAUCAUGCAUCAAGCAACAGAACACGACGACCAAUCUCUAUAUUGAUUGUAAUUGGCCUUUGCUGUUUCUUUUAUCUAAUAGGAGUUUGGCAGAAGAGUGGGUCCGGUAAGGGAGAUAAGUUAGCACUAGCAGUGACCGAGCAAACUGCUGACUGCAAUAUCUUUCCGCCAUCCACUCUGGAUUUUGAAUCACACCAUAAUUAUGUGGAAAUGAUUGAAUCUUCAGAACCAAAAACUAAAGUAUACAAGUCAUGUGAUGCUAAAUACACUGACUAUACUCCCUGCCAAGAACAAGAUCGAGCUAUGACGUUCCCACGGGAAAAUAUGAUAUAUAGAGAAAGGCAUUGUCCUCCAGAUGAUGAAAAGCUUCGUUGUUUGAUUCUAGCACCCAAAGGAUACACAACUCCAUUUCCAUGGCCGAAAAGCCGUGAUUAUGCGUACUAUGCUAAUGUUCCUUACAAACACUUGACAGUUGAGAAGGCAGUCCAGAACUGGGUACAGUUUCAGGGAAACGUUUUCAAAUUUCCAGGAGGAGGUACAAUGUUUCCUAAGGGAGCAGAUGCAUAUAUUGAUGAACUUGCAUCUGUGAUUCCAAUUAAAAGUGGCAUGAUAAGAACUGCUCUUGACACUGGUUGUGGGGUGUGUUUUCUCUUCCUUUUUUCCUACUUUCCCUUAAAAGUUUUACUAGUAAUUCCAUUAAGAAAGCUAUAUCCAUGAUGCUGAUUAUCUUUGGGGGUUGUCUUUUAUAUAGCGAAAGAGGAGAAUUUACCUUAUUCGUGUUAAACAAGUUCUUGUCGAUGAGCAAAACUGCAUUACUAAGACCGCUGUGUUCUUUAAUGGUAACACAUAUUUUAAAACCUCUAUUAACAAAUGGAUACUUGACUAGUUCAUGUUUACCUGUGACAGUGCUAUUUAUAGUGGUUAUGCUAUUGAAAGCUUAAAUGGGAUAUUAAUCACUGCGGCCAUUGUAUUGACUAUCAAAAUACUUCCCAUUUACCUGGGAGAAUACCUUAUUUCCUUUAAAGUUGCUUGGAACAAUACUAUUCCAAUUGAUUUAAUAACAGUGAAGCUUUGAAAAUUUGGAGUCUACUGUAACUCACAGGUAAUAAAAUAAGUAGUCUGUCGCUGUCCUUCACCAUCUUUGGUAAACCUUGGAAAAUCUUGGUUUCAGGGUUUAAAAAUUCAUAAAUUUAUAAAUAGUCAGUCUCACUUGGAAAAGGCAACAUUAUGGAAAAGGAGUAUAUGCAUGUUCUUCUCAUGCUGUUGUUGAGUCUUUCCCUGUUUUUAAGUAAUCACAUUCUCCAGGAAAAUGGUUUGUCCUGCAUUAUUGCUUGUAAUUAUCCAUCAAAUAUCAUGCUUUUUUGAAGUAUCGAUAAUAGACAACUUAUUGCAUUCACAUCAUAUGAUAGGUUGCAAGCUGGGGUGCUUACUUGCUGAAGAGAAAUAUUCUGGCGAUGUCAUUUGCACCUAAGGACAAUCAUGAAGCACAAGUGCAAUUUGCAUUGGAGCGAGGUGUGCCUGCUGUUAUUGGAGUGUUUGGUUCCAUACACCUUCCAUACCCAUCAAGAGCAUUUGACAUGUCUCAUUGUUCUCGCUGUCUCAUUCCCUGGGCAUCAAAUGGUAAUAUGUGCAAGAUAUAGUUUAACAAGCUUACUGAAUUUUCUGAUAUAGGACUUCUUUUUAUCUUCUUUAUCUAUCUUAUUAGAUGGGCUUAAGAUCUGUGGAACCUUUUGGAAACAUAAAAUAGGAAACAGUACUUAUCAAAAAAGGAAAAAUUGGAGACAAGGUAUAGGUGCUGAUAAGUGUUUUAAAAGGCGGGGGCGUAAGGCGAGGCGUUUUGCAUAUGCCUCAGCAAGGCGUAAACCCCAAGGAGCGUGGCGUAAGCCCCAUGGGUAUUUAAUUUUUAAUAUUUUAUAAAAUAAUAUAAUUAUAAAAAAUAAAAAUAGACUUUAAAUAAGUAUAUAUAUAUAUAUAUAUAUAUAUAUAUAUAUAUAUCCCAUAUUAUCUAAUGAAAUUAGAUAGAAGACCCAAAUAAAGUGAAAUUACAUAUACAUGUCAAAUAAUUAUAUAUAUAAGUGAAAUCCCACAUUAUCUAAUGAAAUUUUAAAUCUCAAAUAAAUAAGUAAAAUUAUAUAAUCAAUAAUUAUAUAUAAAUCUAAUCAAUACAUAUAAAAGCACGCAUACAUAUAAUCCCAUAUUAUAUUUUAAAAGAGAGCAAGAGAAGUACUGAACUUAAAAAACUAAUUACAUACAUAUUUACAAACUAACAGUGAAAUGUAGAAAGAGAGAAAAGUAAUGAGUUCAAAAUAAUAAAAUUUUUACGUGGAGGAAGGAACAAACCUGUUGAAGUUGACAUACGGAGAAGAAUGAAGUUUUUUGUUGUAAAAAAAGUGAUAAAUCGUUGCUCUUCGUAAAGGCAAACUAGCGGAAAGAAUUAUGAAAGACUUCUAAUUUAGGGCUUUUAGCAAUAUUAAAAAGUUUACUUCUAAAUUUAAUAUUUUUAAUUUCUUUUUAAAAAGAUGUCUCUUAGGCUUACGUCUCAACCAAAAAACUCGCCUGGGUGUACGCCUCGAACUUCUGGGUGUACGCCUUAUGGGACUUUCGCCCCCAGGAUCGCCCCGGGGCGUUUUUGGUACGCCUUGCCCCAGGACUUACCCCAAGAACACCUUUUAAAACACUGGUGCUGCUGAUGACUCUGAAAAUAUGCACUGAUCGCCAUAGGGCAGAUAAGCCUUUGUCCGCUAACUCUAAAGUAUCAUCAUCUUUGUGUGUAUUGAUGCAACUGUUUAUCUAUUAAAAAGAAAAGCAUUAGCCUUCUAAGCUUUUAAAAGAGAAGCUUUGAUACUGCUGCGAAGUUUUGGACUGUAUUAUUUGGUGUAAUAUAUUUCAUUCAUUACACAAAUGAUAUCAGAGUCUUUGGGUGUGAAUCACACUUAAAUUGGAGGACAUUUUAUGUUUGUAACUAGUAUUGAUAAAUUUUUGGUUCCUAUACGCUAUAGAUAAAAUGUGGAAAUGUUAUAUCUUAGAAUGCAUGAAUUAUUGAAUUAUUAGUUCCAAUUUGUAAGUGUUUAGAGAGGAAUAAACAAACAACAAAAGCCCAGUUUGAUCCCAUAAAUGGGGUCGGGGGAGGGUAGUGUGUACGCAGACCAUACUCCUACCUCAUAGAGAUAGAGAGGCUGUUUCCGAUAGACCUUUGGCUCAAGGAACCAGAGGGGAAUAAACACACAGAUAAAAUGACAGCUACUUGCAAGAUCCAAUUUAAGACCUCAACCUGCUUUGUUACAUAAAUGAUAAAUGCAAAUGUGGAAUUAACCAUUUUAAAGGAUCGUCGUGGAUAAAUACUACACAAGUUAGUGAUAAUUAAUAACCUUUCUUAAAUUCUCACCUUCAUUAAGUGUUUUUCACAUUGUACUUGCCCUUUGUAUUGAUCUUCAAGUGCUUUACGGAGCAUUGGGAGCUCUAAUAACAACACCUUCGGAAAGGAGACGUCUAAUACCAUUGGAACUUCCAAAUAGGAGAAAUACAUAUGUGUACUGGAGAUCGAGUCAUAGGGAAAAAGGUUUGACAGAGAUUUGGAUUUGGAUUUGAAAUGAGCCUAUAGCAUAAUAGAUUUCCAUUUGAACGGUAAAAUCCUCUGUGUAAGAGGAAAGAUCCUUGUUCGAAUCAUGUGAUGAAUAAAAUAUGUGCUGUAUGUUAAUAAUUCUAAGUAGUGAUUUGUGACUUUAGCUUAUCCUGAGAAAAUUAAAAUUGCCAGUGAUGACUUUAACUUUCAUUGGUGAAUUUUCUAGCUUGCUAAUAGUUGGCUUGUAUGUGCAGAGGGUAUGUACAUGAUGGAAGUCGAUCGAGUUUUGAGACCUGGUGGAUACUGGAUACUCUCUGGUCCUCCACUUAAUUGGAAGAUCUAUCACAAAGUCUGGAACAGGACAAUUGCGGAUGUGAAAGCUGAGCAAAAGAGGAUUGAAGAUUUUGCUGAGCUUCUUUGCUGGGAGAAGAAAUAUGAAAAAGGUGAUGUAGCUAUAUGGAGGAAAAAAAUUAAUGGAAAAUCAUGCAGCAGAAGGAAAUCUACCAAAAUAUGUCAAACAAAGGAUACUGAUAAUGUCUGGUGAGUUAAUAUAGCCCUACUUGUCAAAUUACUUUUAUUUUCACUCCAGAGUCCUUCUUCAUUUGUCACCAAAAAUAUUGAAUGCUAGAUUGGUCCCAUCAUGUAAGUACUAAUUUUUGUUUAUCUUUCUACUUUGUAUAAAAUGGUGAUUCAGGUAUAAAAAAAUGGACGCAUGCAUAACCCCCUACCCUGACGUCCAGAGUUCUGAUGUAGUAGCUGGAGGGGAAUUGAAGAAGUUUCCAGCUAGGCUUUUUGCAGUUCCGCCACGUGUAGCCAAUGAAAUGGUUCCUGGGGUGACAAUUGAGUCUUAUCAAGAGGAUAAUAAGCUUUGGAAGAAACACGUCGCUUCUUACAAGAGGAUCGUUAGUCUACUUGGCACCACAAGAUACCACAACAUAAUGGACAUGAAUGCUGGACUUGGAGGAUUUGCUGCAGCACUAGACUCUCCUAAACUGUGGGUGAUGAAUGUUGUGCCAACUAUUGCUGAAAACACCCUUGGUGUCGUAUAUGAGAGGGGGUUGAUUGGCAUAUACCAUGAUUGGUACGUAGCACUAAUGGUUUCUUAUCAACUAAUUCUUUUUGCAAAUGGUAAAGAAUUUUGCUGGUUUACUUAGGUGGGCAUUCAACCUAUCCGCCUAACCCAAUUUUCAAUAACUCGAAAAACUUUCUUCCCUUUUAUUUACUGAAAACCUAUAGGAUAUAGGAUUGAAAUGAAACUUUCACAAUCUACUGUUACUUACAUGUUUGAAUGGAGAUCCUGUCUAUUGUCAUUCUUCUGUUGCUGUUUUACACUGUUAGUCGAGAAUAUUGUCCUGAAACUUGGAUUAAUUUUGAUUUUCUUCUCCUUUCAGGUGUGAAGGCUUCUCUACCUACCCAAGGACAUAUGAUCUCCUUCAUGCUAAUCGCUUGUUCACUUUGUACCAGGACAAGUAAGCGUUCUUAAACUCUUCUUUAAGGAAAUGGAUUUAUGCUCUGAUUCCUAUAUAUUUGAAUGGGAUCUCUGGCUAUCUAUUAAAUCAGAUAUAUAUUAUGUAGAAGAGAACAAAAUUUAAAAAAGAUAUACUGAUUCUCAAAGCUAUAUGACUGUAAACAGGUGUGAAUUUGAAGAUAUUCUUCUAGAAAUGGACCGUGUUCUGCGGCCAGAAGGGUCGGUCAUUCUUCGAGAUGGAGUUGAAGUACUGAACAAGGUUAGGAAAAUUGCUGCAGGCCUGAGAUGGGAAACUAAAUUAGUAGAUCAUGAAGAUGGACCCUUGGUACCUGAGAAAAUAUUUAUUGCUGUCAAACAAUAUCAUGUUGAAGGUGAUGAUGACCAGAACACGCAAAACGAUGAAUGAAUCGUGCCAAUAUUGGAUCAACCUGUCAAUUUUAAAGUGGAAGGUAAGAUUUCCAGGCAGAGACAUGAAGGGUUUUUUUCUCAAAGAUGGCAAUACAGCAAUAGUGCAAGUUUUCAUGUAGAGCAAUUUUAGCUAUUUUUUUCCUUUGAUGUGUGAUUUUGGAGAUGUGGUGAAAAGCAAAGAUCCCUUUCUCCAAAUAAUGAAGCAAAGCAAGAUAUCAGUAGUCAUAUCUUUGUUUUAGAGCAUCUUGUUUAGUUGUUUCCUGUAGCUGUAAAAUUGAAUACUGCAACAUUUACAACCUUAUUUUUAUCUUGGCAAUUUAAUUUAUUUAAACUUUUAGUCAAAGGACCACCAAAGUGUGUAUUCCUUGUGGGUAUUUGCAACAUAUAUAUGAUCAUUCCUUGUGGGUAUUUCUAGUAUAUUUUAUAAGAAAAUCUUCUGCAGACCACAUAAAACCAACAAUGCUUGUUUCCAGAUUUAACCACAAGUAAAUAAAUAUAUAAUCAGAAGUUCAUAUGGUUUAUUGAGCUUUUCUAUCUUGUACACUAUAAUAAGUAUUCUUGUCAAAUCUAGAAUUAUUAGUACCGACAGCCAUUUGUGACAAAAGCAAUUAUUCAGGCUGAAAUUAUAAUGCCACUAAAAUUAACUUUUUCAAGAAGGAUUACUACAGUACUUGCACGAUACCUUAAAGGUUCGAGAAAGAAAAAAGAAGAAGAAGAAGAUGCAAUUCAACCCUAUAUUCUUACUUAUACUCGUAGUCUACAACAACACAUAUUUUACCCUACCCCGAAGGAGUAAAGAGUUUGUUUUCGGGAGAUCCUCGGUUCAAAAGGCGAACAAAGAUAAUAGAUCAUUACUAACAGCAACACUAUGAAAACGGGAAAAUAAUGUGAACACAACAUACGCCACUAGCAGAUUACGACAAAACACUAUCGGUCUAGCCUCACCACCGACAUAAAGAAGAAAAACGCUCGACUACCCCUACACUUCAACCCAAAUGCUCGACCUCCAUACUUUUCUAUCAAGAGCCAUGUCCUCAGAGAUCUGAAGUCUCGCCAUGUCCUGCCUGAUCACCUCGCCCCAAUACUUCUUAAGCCACCAUCUACCUCUUCUUAUGCCUGCCAAAAUCAACCGCUUACACCUCAUGAUCGGGACAUCAAUGCUUCUCCUAUGCACAUGCCCAAACCAUUUGAGCCUCGAUUCCCUUGUCUUUUCGUCCAAAGGAGUCACGCAUACCUUCGAAUAAUCUCAUUCCUAAUCCUACCCAGUCUAGUGUGCAUGGACAUUCAUCUCAUCAUCCUCAUUUUUCAUUUUUGCUAAUUCUAAUAUCUGAAUAUGCGACUUCUUAACUGUCCAACACUCAGAACUUACCUUUAAUUUUUGGUGACACCUUCUUAUCACAUAUGACUCCACCACCCCUACUCGAUGCAUGACAUCCUCGUCUAUCUCCCUACCCCCUGGAUAAUUGGCCCAAGGUACCUGAAACUUCCUUUCUUGGGGAUGAUUUGUGAGUCAAGCCUCACAUUCAUGUUCUCUUCCCCCGUCACGUUGUUGAUCUUGCACUCCAGGUAUUCUGUCUUAGCCCUACUCAACUUGAAACUUUUAGACUCAAGAGCCCGUCUCCAAUCUCUCGCUAACGCCGUCUCGCGUCUAAUCAAUCAAAACGAUAUCAUCAUCAAACAACAUACACCAUAGCACCUCCCCUUGAAUAUGGCGUAUUAGAGCGUCCAUCGCCAGGGUGCAGAUCCUUGGUGUAACCCCAUAACAACUGGAAAAUGCUCCGAGUAACCUCCCACAGUCCUAACCUGAGUCUUUGCUCCAUCAUACGUCUUUUAUCACCCUAAUAUAUGCUAUCGGCAUACCUUUUACCUCCAGGCAUUUCCAAAGAACCUCCUUAGGAACCUUGUCAUACGCUUUCCUCCUUAGGAACCUUGUCACACGCUUUUUCUAGUCAGUACGUAUGACCUAGAGAAGUUAUGCUUUCCCUAAUGUAUACUAAAGGUGUUAAUCGGGCCGAGCUAACCCGCUAACAACCUGGUUCAACCCGGUCCAGCCCGUAAAUGGAGCAAAAUUUUCGGGUUGGGACGGGUUGGACGGGGGGCGAGCUAGUAACGUCUAACAUUUUUUAAAUGGGGAACCGAACCCGCUACAACCCGAUAUGCUUUAACGGGCCACAGUCCGGUUCAGCCUGUUAACCCGUUACUUGUUUAUUUUAUUUUAUUUUUUUUACCGUUGCCAACAGUCAAAUACCAAAAAGGAUCGUUAGCCAACGACCAUUUCUGCCAAAAACAACCACAUUUGGACUUUUUAUUUAUAUUUUAGUGCCUCACUCCUUAUAGGAUUUUAAUAAAAAAAAAUCUGGAGCCUGACCCGCCCGAGCCUGCUAAGCCCGAACCCGUACGGACCCUAUAGGACCCGAAAAAUUUCAGCCCGCCACCAGCCCGUUAAUCCCAACCCAAUAACAACUUGCCCCGAAACCGAACGAGCUGAUAUUUUGUGUCCAGCCCGCCCGAUUAACACCUUAUUGUAUACUCGGAGUCUCAGUCUCGUUUUUAGCCCUUUAUAAAAGAAGUUACACCUUUCCUUUUAUCUUAUGUAUAUUGUUGGUUUGCAGCAAAUAUCGAAUGCAGGUAAAUAUCUUCAAAUAUGGAAUAAUUAAACCGAAAAUCUUGCACGUUGAAGAAUUUCAGUGAUAUAUUUGUGCGAGAAUUUGUGGAGUAAAUUCAGUUAGUACAUCAAUUAUCACAGCUCAAAACUAUGUGCUAUUAAAAUCUAUGUAGAUGUAACUACCCAACCAACUCCACCAAAGGGUGUAGCAGAAAUCAAUAGAUCAUCAAUUAAAAGAAUACCUUUUGGAAGACCUAAAUGUUGUACCUUAUGCUAAGAAUUAAUGCUCAUAUGUUGGCUAGCAAAAAGGUUUCAUCCUUUCUACUCUAAGUGAUAGACAACAUGACAACUUUACCCACCUAAUACUUUAUUAGGAAAUUUGCCCCUUUUUCAGCUUAUGAUAUCGUUUGAAAAAAAGAAAAUUUCAAUUUCACUAAUUACCAUUGCCUUAUAGCACAUGUAUUGCUUAUAAUCCAUUAAUGAGUUUUCGAACCCUAAACUUGUUUAUAUAUGUACUCUCUUGUGUAGAAGCGGACAUAAGAUUCGAAGGUUGCAACUCAGGGGUGUACUUUUGCACGCAACAAAAACCUGCUUAGUAUAAAAUGUGCCACUAGUAAUAUAUUACUAUUUUCUAAAAAUAUAUAUAUGUAUAUAUAAAUUUUUCGCCGAACUUUUUGUAUACCGGUGACCCCUUUAUCUAUAGCAUAGGUCCACCUCUACUGGUGUGAGCCAGGGUGCGCCCAUAAUAUAGGACGUCUAGCGUGCGAUGGGCGUGCGAAUGACGCCCAUCGCACAAUGACAUGAUCUUGGUAUAGUUUAAUGAUUGUAAUUUUCACUCGGCAUUAUUAGAUGAGGGGUUCAUAUCCUACCAUAAACUAUUUUCAUUUGUUUUUUCAACAUCAGAGACAACCACCUAAACAAGUUAGAAAGAGAAAACUAUAAAAAAAGAAAUGCUAAUAUCUCAGUACGACAAGAUAAUGGUUAGUCUAAGUGAUACUAAAAGAUAUUGAAAAUUAGACCAUAGAUUUUCAUGUCCAUGGAUUUAUUUCCACUUAUAAUUAGAUUAUACCUACUAUAUGCUUCCUUUUCUAUUUUCCUGUCUGCUAUCACGAUGGUUUUAAUGUUUUAUUGAAGUCCUUUUUUAAGUCUAACUCUACCAAGUCUCGAGUGGUUACAUUCAAUUAAGGUAGCUUAUGUUUCAUUUCUAUGUCGCAAUUAUGCUAUGUUCAACUUUUUGGGCGUUACAUGUGUUUGGUACGAAGGAAAUUAUGUCACGAUCCAAAAUUCACUAAGGACUGUGGUGACGCCGGACACCGCUGUCAGGCCAACCAACUCAAAUACAAAAUUAAAUCUCAUUUUAUCACUUUUGAAAUACAAGAUUUUUCCUUCAUUAUUAAGAAAUAGUAAGAAAUACAGUUUCAAAUCAAAUUAAAAAGUUAAGCAAUUAACACAAUACUUUAAACCAUCCCAGAACCCGGUGUCACAAGUGCAUGAGCAUCUACUGAUAAGAAAAAUAAAAUACAACAUCCGCCCGGAAUACAAUGGACGAAAAGUAAAUACAGUACAAAAGAAGGGACUACUCUAGGUGCGACCGUCUCUAAUGAUGCAACUCAUCUAGUCCCAGAAUCAUCCAUGCUGCUAUGCCUAGCAGACCACUGGAGCCACAUAUACCUGUGCAACAAAAUGCACAGCAAGUGUAGUAUGAGUACAAAAACAACGUGUACCUAAUGAGUGUCCCGCCUAAUCCCGAAGGGUAAGAGACGAGAAGGUCAACUUUUACACUUUCUAAUAGUCCAAUGAUUAUUUAUCCUUAACAUAUAUAUCAAACCGUGGUUUAUAUUAAAAACAUGAUUUUUAAUCCAGAUAAAGGAAACCAAUAAUCACAUAAUUCUUUCAUAGGAAAGUUUUCGAAAUUCCUUUUCAUUAUUAACAAUAUCAUUUUGACCAGAGUGAGGCAUGUAACAACUUAAACAAGUUCUCAGGCAGCAAUACAAGCAUGCGCAAAUCACACCGAGACGACGGCCCGAUUCAACAUAAAUAAAUGUGCACUUUCCGAGGGUCGACGAUGCGCCUAUAGAUGCAUCUAUUAAUCUGCCAGGCGGCGGCCUGUUCCAAAAUAAACACACACAAACAGACAAUUAGUCAAGAAGUCAACAUGGAGCAAAUAUCCAAGAAAGACCAAUUCUCUUUAAUAAUUUGAUAAAACAAAGCUUAAGUCUUUUUAAAAAUCCAUUUAUUAAUUUAAUGUGAUUCAAGCUAUUCAAGUCAUCAAUGAGUUCACAAUUUAUCCAAGUAUAACAUGCUUUUGGGUCCUAGACUACCUGGACAAUAACAUAAUAUUAGCUUCGCACGGACUCUUGUCACCUCGUGCGUACGUAGCCCCCACAAUUAGGAGCACAUAAUCAAUUUAACUCACCUAUGGGGUAGAUUCCCUCUCACAAGAUUAGAAAGGAGACUCACCUCGCUCCGAAGAUCCACGACCGACAUUCUACAUUCUUUCGAAGACUUGCACAAACACACAAUACUCCAAAAUUAGCCAACGAUCAUACGAAUCCAUUAAUAUAUGCUCAAUUAUACUAUACAACCCAAUUUAUAACAAUUUCUAACCCCUAACGAAAAGUUAACAAAAAUACCCUCGGGCCCACGUGCCCGUAAUCCAAAAUUUCUCGAAGAUAAAAUUUACCCAUGAACUCACGAACUCAAAUAUAUGAUUUUCUCUUAAUUCCUUACUAAAAAUUGUGGUCAAAAUUCAAGAACACUAAUUUUCUAGGUCUUCCCUCAAACCCCAAGUUUUUCUAUCAUACUCAAAAUCGUGGCUAAAAUCCAAGAAUUUUGUUUUUCUAGGUUAUCGACCAAAACCUCCAUAUUUGCUCUAAUUUUCAUGCUUAAAUCCAUAUAUAAUUGAUAUAUUCAACUCAAAAGUGCUAGGGGUAACUUACCUUAACAUUGACGACAAAAUCCUCUCUUGAAUCUCCCCAAAAAUCGGCAAGGCCAUGAAGAAAUGGGAGAAAUGAACUAAAUCCCACGAUUUAAAACAAGGUUCUUCUUCCAGUCAUUUCUGCUUCUGCGGAAGCCAUGCCGCAUCAGCGGUUCCGCUUAUGCGUCCCGAAGGCCGCUUCUGCGGCUCCUUCCUAUGCCGCCCUUACUCACUUCUGCGAUGCCUUUUUUCUGCGGAAUUUUGACCGCAUCUGCGGUGCUCAAGCUUUGGACCGAAAACCGCUUUUGCGGCUCCCAUUUGCUUCCGCGGUGCCGCUUCUGUUGUCAACCAACCGCAGAAGCCAAAAUACCAGCAACCAGAUGCCUUCAGCCCUCUUCCAAAUUCCAACUUCGAUCCGUUAAGCAUCCGGAAUCCACCCGAGGCUCCCGGGACCUCAACCAAUCAUACCAACCAAUCCCAACACACAUUAUGGACUUGCUCGAAUUUCCAACUUCUCUUUUCGAUGUUUAAACCUAUAAAAUCAUGUACGAUUGACCUCAAAUUUUGCAUAGUAGUAAUAUUUGGCAUUACGGGCCUACUCCAACUUCCGGAAUCAUAUUCCGACCCUGAUAUUAAAAAGUCACUUUUGGUCAAACUUCUCAAAAACCUUCAAAUUUCUAUCUUUAGCCAAACGACUUCAAAAUGACUUACAAACCUCCGAAUUCAUUUCCGAUCGUGCUCCCAAAUUCAGAAUCACCAUAUGGAGCUACUCCUAGUCUCGGAAUCCCAAACAGACAUCGAUAACGCUGAAAUGAACUUCCACAAUAUGCGCUAAAAUGCUACCGGGUUAUCCAAAACCCAAACUAGGCAUACGCCCAAAUCCGAUAUUAUCAUACAAACCUGCUGGAACAUUCAGAUCCCGAUUCCGAGAUCGUUUACUCAAAAAUCCAAUCCUAGUUCAUUCUUUCAACUUUAAGCUUCCGAAAUGAGAAUUCUUUUCCCAAAUCAACUCUGAACUUUCCGAAAUUCAAUUCCGACCACGCAUACAAGUCAUAACACCUGAAAUGAAACUGCUCAUGGCCUCAGACUGCUGAACGACGCGCUAGGUCUCAAAAUGAUCGGUAGGGUCGUUACAUUCUCUCCCACUUAAACAUACGUUCGUCCUUGAACGUGCUGAGAACUAUACCGAAGUAGUCCGAAAUCACUGUUUAGCACCUUAUGCACCUACCCGUGCUACCACAACUUAGCUGAGCACAUUAGCUCGAUAAAUUCCGAAGAUACUCCCUUUAUUCAAGCAAAUAAGCCUUAGAGCCCAAUUCCAACAUCCGGAAUUCUAUGCCAGGCCUAUUUUCACCAUAAGAUUACCAAAUCAUUCACCAAACUUUGUACCCAACGUCACUGCGUACUUUGCUGAAUUCACACUUUGCAUCACUUUACUCAUAGGACCACAAUAACAUUUUUCUAUCAACUUAGCCAAAAUUCAAUGAAUCAGAUGCACCAAUUGCACCUCAUGACCUACAUUGGUCUUGCUCUAACUUUUAUAACACUAACAUGAUGGAAGAAAUGCGCCGAAAUUCAUAACCAAUUGCUGAAUCAACAAAUCAUUGAGUCUAUGCCUCUGACAAGAACCAUUACCAUAUUCUGAACCAAAUAAUGACCUCUGCUCUUUAAUAUACUUCAUAUACAUAGAUUGCACUGAUCCUAAAUCUCAUAAUCCCGUCUCACCCAGUACGAACUGCUCAGGCAAUGAGCCAUUCCAAAUGCAAUCAAAAGUCUCAUAUGACACAACAAUAUGCCAAAAGGCCACCAAUCGGAACACAACAUAAACAAGAAUUCAAACUCUGGAAGAAUUAUCUAACCUCCGCACUAAUACAGACUUUCCUUAAAAUAUAGGAAGCGAAGCACAAAAAAAAUAGCAUAUAGGAACCCAGACUUGACAUUACACUAUUGCGGCGCGCAACCCGAUUCAGUAACAUACCCAUGACGACAUGCCACCCGAUCCACACAUAAAUCUCACAUAAGGAGAUUGCACUUCGAGCUAAAUCUGCUCAUUACACUAAAAUUAUCGAAUUUUGAUCGCAAGCACGCUAAGUGCAUAAUACCAUCCCUGAGAAAACACAUAGCACUAUAGCCUACAAAACUCAAGCACAACUGAGGUGCGAUACAAGAUCUGAAUCUCAAGAGCCAUUCUGCUCACAUAACAUCAUCUCCACGUGGAACCUCCACACAUACGAAUUUACGAAGCCAUCUCACAAUUCAUAUGGCGCAAUACACCAUUACCAGGAAUAGCUGAUGAUAAAAUAACACCCCUACUGUUCCUCCAUAGGGAACGCUCGCUGAAACGAAAACAACUAGCAUGAUAUAAAGCCCUGUUCACAUAUAAAUAAAUCCACUGAUCUCAAGUUGAUUUUUUAUUGCACCAACCUGGGUAAUAACCUUUCAAAGGUCCAUGGUAACUUAUUCUUCCUCAUAACACAUAAGGACAACCAUAAUAACCGGAGAAACCUCCUCCGUUCAUAACCUAAUGUACAAAGUGCCCUCCAAGCCUAAAUUCUCAAAUUAAUAAUAUUACCACAAUCCUCAUACUUGGUUCAAAUCUUUAGUUAAUAAAAUGACUACAUGCCAUACUUAUACAACCUUCCCGUGGGAAACGCUCACAAAAUCUUCCAAAAUAAAUGAUGGGCCGCACAUCUAAACCACCGGACGCACUAACGCUGAAAAGCGAUCAAGAAUCCUUAUCCAUGAUGCAAAGCCUCUUUCACAACACAUCGAUCUCAGGUGAUGCUGAAGACAAUACCAAUUUACUCUAAUCAUUCAACCCGUUUCCUUGCUCAUCCGAGCCCGUGACAUCCUUGUCCUUGCUUCACAUUUCAAUACCUAUUGAACCCCUUUCUUGCUCAUCCGAGCCCGUGACAUCCUUGUCAACACCGAACUGCAACCUUGAUCCUCGCUUCACAUUUCCAUACCUAUCACCGUACCCAACGUGGCAAUAUACGAUAAGACACGAUUUUCAUCAUAAUUUCAAAAUCAUUAAUAUUUUAACACUUCAUCACAUAAGAACUUUUCACUUAACUUACUUCAGGAGAAUCAUAGCAACACAUGAGCAACUUCCCAUAACCGUAGGAUAUACAAAUCUCUAAGUAGUGGUCCAAGACACCAUAUUCUUUCCGGAAUCCGCCUAUACUUAACAAGCCAUAAUAGAAGAAUGAUCCUGAAUAACUUCAAUUACGGCGACCGACAAGCCUCACACGUACCACCAGAAAUCAUACACAUAACCUGAUCACGCGGGCCGAACUGAUCACUGAACCUAAUAUGCCAAUUCAACUAUGGCUAAUCAAUUUACCUUCUCCCAAUUCGUCCUUGCUUGCCUUAGAAAUUAGACUAACUCCAUUCAACACAUAACAUACUCCAUCUACACUCGCCCCGAAUGACCUUGAAGCACGAGACCAGGCUGUCUCGAUUCCCACAAACCAUUUCGUAUAACUCAAAUGCUACACCCCGAGUCAAAAUAUCAUAAAACAUUAUGGGCACCCUCUCAUAAGCUGCUACAAAGCUUGAUUCUCAUCUGUACCCAUAUGCUUGAAAUUAUUGAGCACCACACUUAAACUCCUGAAUUCACUAGGACCAUUAUUGAGAGCCACCCGCUCUGUCUUGGUCCCUAAUAUAACUCACUCUAUAGAUCUUAUAACACACGAACACUCUCUCCACGAAGCACUCGACAAAAUCACUUCCUCUGAAACCUGCAUCUAUACGAGGCAUAAAUCCUAAACUUUUUUCCAAGUCCGAACAUGAGCCAAUAGGGCCAACCAUAGCAUGCCUCCAACAAUUCAUUUGCUCGAAUUACCACUUAUGGUCUUUUCUCAUAGCUGAAAUAACCAAUCAAUAUGCUAAUAGCCAAAAAUCACGCAAGUAGCUAAUCAUACGACCCAAUGACAUAACCUUGCGCCCGACCUCUUUAACUCUCAAUGACGUAACCUUGUGCCAUAAAUUAUCAAAAUUUCCCGAAAUCUUCCUAUAUAUCCUCAUCUUUCAUAUUCUGAAUUAUCAUCCACAUUCGCACGACCGAUCUCUUAAUUGAACAACCAAUAUGGUUCUUUGCAGAAGCUUCGCCAACCACGGGAUUGCUAACCCGCUCACGGGGAAUAAUCCCCCUAGGGAAAUCACCUCCCAACAUCUUCCCACGCCGUUGUAUGGGGUAAAUUCACUUUGACACUAAUAGCCCAUCCUGAGUCGGAGCUCACCUUCCAGUUGCACAAGUCCAUUCGCCUCUCGCGAACAUCGAUUAAAUGUGCGGCAACAUCCUUCCAAUUCGGGGUUAUGAUGCACCCUCCUCCAUUUCAAGUAGCUCCUUCCCGUCAUAUCAAUCUUUUGCCGCAUAAUAACCCAUAUUUUACGUCAUACCCGCAUGCUUCAAUCACUAAUCAUUAAAAUCCCUAAUUCGAUCCAAACUCUCUUUAAGGUGCGUAGUCUUCCUACUACCAAGCCCAUAUGCAACCCCCGCCACUCUCCCACUUUGGCGGAACUCAUCUCCUUAAUCGGUCACUCGACCUUGCUUCUCAUACUAGGCAUUCUAGAUAUUUUAAACAUCGUGUGACACUUCCCACGUGUCCUUCCUCAUACUUUGCUGCUCAAUUAUUUCCUUAAAUGAAAUCUAUCUUCGUGGCACUUGAAUCCACCAUUGCUGCUAACUUUAGAACCUUUCCAAAGGCCAUCUUUAUCGAUCCGUCAACAUUAGAAAUUCUGAUUCAAUCUUAAACCACCGCACCAUGCGAUAUCUGACAGUUGAAUCUCCAAUACUAUUACACAACAUCUUUCCAUAAAGGCGAAUUGUAGCAGAUUAUAACAUCGGCACUUAGUACGUUCAAUCAGAACCACGUAACCCCAUCAUAGAAGAAAAGCUCCACCACGCUUGCAAAUACCAAGUCUCAUUACUUUCACCAGCCCAUAUCUGACCAUUCUUAGUCCGACUGCGUUUCCCUUGCGGAGAAUAAAAUACUGAAUCCCUUGAUUAUACGGUGAGUACAUCUUCUCCGAUUCAUUCACUGCCCCGACACAUGGGAAAAUAUCCUACCAUCACAACAACGCUGCGGUUCGCUCAUAAGAAUCAUGGCACCCUGUGCCUAGCCUCAAGGCUCUAAGAAGUUCUGUAUAUGAGCUAGAACAAUAGAAAAUCCUUCCAUAAAGCGACCAUAAUAGUCCAAUCAACUAUACUGGGCGAAUUAUCCCGCACCACAUUUAUAGUGCCAUUUCAAUUCUUCAAAUUCUAGACUUCUAACAAUCGCUCGCAUCGCAUAAGAUUUAGUAGGAACGAAUCAAAGACUAAGCCUCAAAGGGAUCGAACCGCACGAUAAGGAAAUCAAGAAGGGAAGUACUCCUAACAGCCCUGUAGCCUUCCGAUAAGUAGAUACAUCUCCGUACCGAUCCACGAGACUCUACUAGACUUGCUCGUGACUCGUGAGACCGACAAUAACCUAGUGCUCUGAUACCAUGUUGUCACGAUCCAAAAUCCACUAAGGGUCGUGGUGGCGCCGGACACCACUGUUAGGCCAGCCAACUCUAAUGCGAAAUUAAAUCUCGUUUUAUCACUUUUGAAAUACAGGAUUAUUCCUUCAUUAUUUAGAAAUUUUAAGAAAUAUAGUUUCAAAUAAAAUUUAGAAGUUUAAGCAAUUAACACAAUACUUUAAACUAUCCCAGAACCCGAUGUCACAAGUGCAUGAGCAUCUACUGAUAAGAGAAAUAAAAUACAACAUCUGCCCGGAAUACAAUGGACGGAAAGUAAAUACAGUACAAAGGAAGGGAAUACUCUAGCUGCGACCGUCUCGAAUGAUGCAACUCACCUAGUCCCAGAUUCAUCCACACUGAUAUGCCUAACAGACCACUUGUGCCACAUAUACUUGUGCAACAAAAUGCAUAACAAGUGUAGUAUGAAUACAAAAAUAACAUCCACCCAGUGAGUGUCCCGCCUAAUCCCGAAGGGUUAAAGACAAAUAGGUCAACUCUGAUACUUUUUAAUAGUCUAAUGAUUAUUUAUCCUUAACAUAUGUAUCAAACCGUGGAUUUAUAUUAAAAACAUGAUUUUUAAUCCAGAUAAAGGAAACCAGUAUCACAUAAUUCUUCAUAGGAAAGUUUUUGAAAUUCCUAUUCAUUAUUAACAAUAUGAUUUUGAGCCAGAGUGAGGCAUGUAACAACUUAAAGAAGUUCUAAGGCAGCAAUACAAGCAUGCGCAAAUCAUACCGAGGCGACGACCCGAUCCAACAGAAAUAAAUGUGCACUUACCGAGGGUCGACAACACGCCUAUUGAUGCAUCUAUUGAUCUGCCGAGGCGUUCGGCCCAUUCCAAAGUAAACACACACAGAUAGACAAUCAGUCAAGAAGUCAACAUGGAGCAAAUAUCCAAGAAAGGCCUAUUCUCUUUAAUAAUUUGAGAAAACAAAGCUUAAGUCUUUUUAGAAAUCCAUUUAUUAAUUUAAUGUGAUUCAAGCAAUUCAAUCCAUCAAUGGGUUCAUAAUACAUCCAAGUAUAACAUGCUUUUGGGUCCUAGACUACCCGGACAAUUGCAUAAUAGUAGCUAUGCACGGACUCUCGUCACCUCGUGCGUAUGUAGCCCCCACAAUUAGGAGCACAUAAUCAAUUUAACUCACCUAUGAGGUAGCUUCACCCUCACAAGAUUAGAAAGGAGACUCACCUCGCUCUGAAGAUCCACGACCGGCAUUCUACAUUCUCCCGAAGACUUGCACCAAUGCACAAUGCUCCAAAACUAGCCAACGAUCAUACAAAUCCAUUAAUAUAUGCUCAAUUAUACUUUAUAACCAAAUUUAUUACAAUUUCUAACCCCUAAUGAAAAGUUAACAAAAAUGCCCUCGGGCCCACGAGCCCGAAAUCCAAAAUUUCUCGAAGAUAAAAUUUACCCAUGAACUCAAAUAUAUGAUUUUCUCUUAAUUCCAUACUCAAAAUCGUGGCUAAAAUGCAAGAUUUUGAUUUUUCUAGGUUAUCGACCAAAACCUCCAUAUUUGCUCUAAUUUUCAUGCUUUAAUCCAUAUAUAAGUGAUAUAUUCAACUCAAAAGUGAUAGGGGUAACUUAGCUAACAUUGACGAUAAAAUCCUCUCUUGAAGCUCCCCAAAAAUCGCCCAAGCCAUGAAGAAAUGGGAGAAAUGAACCAAAUCCCACGAUUUAAAACAAGGUUCUGCCUCCAGCGCUUUCCGCUUUUGCGGUCCAGGGACCGCUCCUGCUGUCCCGCUUUUGCGGAAUAAAUCCCACGAUUUAAAACAUGGUUCUGCCUCCAGUCAUUUCCGCUUCUGCAGAAGCCAUGCCGCAUCAGCGGUUCCACUUAUGCAGCCCAAAGGCCGCUUCUGCGGCUCCUUCCCAUGUCGCCCUUACUCGCUUCUGCGAUGCCCUUUCCAAUGAUGCGGUUCCGCUUCUGCAAAAUUUUGACCGCAUCUACGGUCCUCAAGCUUUGGACCAAAAAAUGCUUCUGCGGCUCCCCGUUUGCUUCUGCGGUGCCGCUUUUGCGGUCAACCAAACGCGGAAGCGAAAAUACCAGCAACCAGAUGCCUUCAACCCUCUUCCAAAUUCCAAUUUCGAUCUGUUAACCACCUAUAAUCCACCCGAGGCCCCUGGGACCUCAACCAAUUAUACCAACCAAUCCCAACACAUAUUACAGAUUAUCUCGAGGCCUCACAUCACACCAAACAAUGCCAAAAUCAUCAAUCGACCUCCAAUCCAAGCUUUAUGAACCUUGAAAUUUCCAUCUUCUAUUUUCGAUGUUUAAACCUAUCAAAUCAUGUCCGAUUGACCUCAAAUUUUGCACACAAGUCAUAUUUGACAUUAUGGACAUACUCCAACUUCCGAAAUCAGAUUCCGACCCCGAUAUCAAAAAUUUCACUUCAGGUCAAACUUUUCAAAAACUUUAAAUUUCUAUCUUUAGCCAAACAGCUUCAAAAUGACUUACAGACCUCCGAUUUUAUUACUGAUCGCGCUCCAAACUUUAGAAUCACCACAAGGAGCUAUUCCCGGUCUUGGAAUCCCAAACGGACAUCGAUAACGCUGAAAUGCACUUCAAGCCAAAUUUAAGAAAUUUCUUCCAAAAUGCUAACUUCCACAAUAGGCGCCAAAACGCUCCCGGUUAUCUAAAACCUGAACUGGCAUACACCUAAGUCCUAAAUCAUCAUACAAACCCUUGGGACCUUCAGAUCCCGAUUCCGAGAUUGUUUACUUGGGUUAUCCAAUACCCAAACCGGGUAUACGCCCAGGUCCGAUAUCAUCAUACGAACCUGCUGAAACCUUCAGAUCCCGAUUCCGAGGUCGUUUAAUCCAAUCCUAGUUCAUUCUUUCAACUUUAUGCUUCUGAAAUGAGAAUUCUCUUCCCAAAUCAACUCCGAACUUUCCGUAAUUCAAUUCCGACCACGCGUACAAGUCAUAACACCUAAAAAGAAGCUGCUCAUGGCCACAGACCGCUGAACAAUGUAUUAGGGCUCAAAACGACCGAUUGAGUCGUUAUAAAUUAUUUACAGAUUAUUUUUUUUUGGGAAAAAAGGGGGAGAUUUGAUGGUCUUUGAUUCUCAAAAAAUAUUUUUUAAUGAAAGAAAAUAUCUUCUACCAAAAUUGGAAAAUGACUUCCCACACUUUUGAAGGCAAGUCAUUUUUCGCCGCUAUCUCAAUUCUUAACUUUGGCUUGAAGUGCAUUUCAGCGUUAUCGAUGUCCGUUUGGGAUUCCGAGACCGGGAAUAGCUCCUUGUGGUGAUUCUAAAGUUGGGAGCGCGAUCAGUAAUAAAAUCGGAGGUCUGUAAGUCAUUUUAAAGCUGUUUGGCUAAAGAUAGAAAUUUAAAGUUUUUGAAAAGAAAAUAUCUUCUACCAAAAUUGGAAAAUGACUUCCCACACUUUUGAAGGCAAGUCAUUUUUCGCCGCUAUCUCAAUUCUUAACUUUGGCUUGAAGUGCAUUUCAGCGUUAUCGAUGUCCGUUUGGGAUUCCGAGACCGGGAAUAGCUCCUUGUGGUGAUUCUAAAGUUGGGAGCGCGAUCAGUAAUAAAAUCGGAGGUCUGUAAGUCAUUUUAAAGCUGUUUGGCUAAAGAUAGAAAUUUAAAGUUUUUGAAAAGAAAAUAUCUUCUACCAAAAUUGGAAAAUGACUUCCCACACUUUUGAAGGCAAGUCAUUUUUCGCCGCUAUCUCAAUUCUUAACUUCAAAUAAAAUUUUCAAUCAACACUUAGACAUUAUUAUCAAUAUUCAAUAUACAAAAAAUUAAUGAAAAUUAAGCUCUAUCCUAACAUAUUUUAUCAAUCUUUAAUAAAUUUUUUGCCAAAAAGUAUUUUUUAUUCUCCAAUCAAAUACUAGAAAAAUAUUUUCGAGGAAAAAAAUUUCUAGAAACAUACCAAAAGAACUCUGUUUCCUGAAAAAGUUGAGCUUAACAUUUUAAUUUCAUUGUAAUAUUCAACUAUUUCUUCUCUGCAUACAGUGAAUCAACAAAAUAUCAAUUGAAAGUAUUUUCCUAAUGAAGAAUCACUCUGUUUAACAUAUUAAGUUAAGAUGCUUAACGAGUUUGAAAGAUUCACUAAAAGGAGCAGAGAAAAAGGUGGUCAAUUAAAAUCUAUUUUAUUUUCAUUUUUCGGCUGUCGAAAUUGCUCGAUAAUAAAUUAGACUACUAGUUGAAAAGGUUGUACUUUAUCGUUAGUCGUAGGAAGUUCUACUUUAAAUCCUUCCAAAAUUAAGGAGUAGAAGGUAAACAUUUUAAUAUGUUGUGGAUUUCUUAGCUUUGGUAUUUAUUUUUAGAAGACAUAAAAUUAUAAUCUAUAUUUACAUAUCUAUAUUUAUCUAUCUAUACUAUAUUAAAGAGAAAACUACCCUCUAUAACCUCUCAAAAUUUUAAGGGAUUUUUACCUUCCUAUAUCACAUAUGAAACCCUAUUACCCUUAAUGUUUAAGAUUUGACUUAAUUACAUUUCAGUAUGUCAAAUUACCAUUUAUAUACCAUAAUUUAAAUCCGGAAUAUAAUUAAGGGUGUAUUUAUAUUAGGCAUAAUUAUAGGAUCGUAUCUUCCCACUUCCCCCCUCCUCACGUUUUACUUUUACCCGUAACCUUAUCCCCUCCCCUCCCCCACGUUUCUGUUUUGAAUUCCACCAUUGACCCCAAUUAAAAAGCUUUGAAUUCAAAUAUGAGUUUUCAAAAAUCAUUAUUUGUUUUGAUUAAGUGUUGUUGUACAUAAUCCGGAAUAUGUUUAGAAUUUAUAUUUUUGCAGAAGCUUUAAUCGUUUUAGAUUUGUGAAAACAGAAAAUAAUGCAUUUACAAUCAGAAUACAAAUAAUCUACUUGGUUAUGGCUGAAUUUAAGAAGAAGAAGAAAAAGAAGAAGAAGGAAGAAGAGGACGAAGAAGAGGAAGAGGAAGAGGAAGAGGAAGAGGAAGUGGAAGAAGAAGGAAGAAGAGGACGAGGAAGAGGAAGAAGACGAGGAAGGAAGAAGAAGAAGAGGAAGAGGAAGGAAGAAGAGGAAGUGGAAGAGGAAGAGUAAGGAAGAAGAGGAAGAGGAAGGAAGAAGAAGAAGAGGAAGAGGAAGAGGAAGGAAGAAGAAGAAGAGGAAGAGGGAGGAAGGAAGAAGAAGAAGAGGAAGAAGAUGAGGAAGAGGAAGGAAGAAGAAGAAGAAGAAGAAGAAGAAGGAAUAAGAAGAAGAAGAAGAAGAAGAAGAGGAAGAGGAAGAGGAAGAGGAAGGAAGAUGAAUGUCACGAUCCGAAUUUUUCCCACCAUCAGGAGUCGUGACAAGUUGGUAUCAGAGGCGAUAGAUGGAACCUCUACGCUGGAGUCGCGAACAUACGCCAAAUAUGCUAGACACCCCUUCUCGACCAUACGUCGAGCCUUGACAUACGAAAUAACACUACAUGUGGCAUGAUCUGGGGUCCCUCUCCACUCAAGUCGGAUCAAAUCUGGCAAGGCCAAAGUCACGGUCUUGGUGUGAUAAUCCAAGAUAGCAUGAUACGGAGACAACCAGUCCAUCCCCAAUAUAACAUCAAAAUCCACCAUGUCUAAAAGCAAUAAGUCGGCACGGGUCUCAAGACCCUCAAAUACCACCACAUAAGAACGAUGCACUCGAUCGAACACCAUAGAAUCACCAACCGUUGUGGACACAUAUACAUGAAUACCUAAAGCCUCACUAGGCAUGAUCAAAUAGGAUGCAAAAUAGGAUGACACUUAAGAAUAAGUAGACCCCGGAUCAAAUAAUACUGAAGCACCCCUAUCACAGACCAAUAUAGUUCCGGUAAUCACACAUCAGAUGACUCGGCCUCCGACCUGGCUGGCAAUGCAUAACAACGGGGCUGGCCCCCACUGAAAUGCAUCUCUGGGACGCUCUGCUGCGGGCUGACCCCUGCCCCUUGCUAUCUGAGCUCCACCUCUACGCUCCCUACCUCCACCUCUAUGGCCUCUACCCCCACCUCUAGCUGGCUGGGCGGCCUGUGGAUCAUCUGCUGCCUGAAUCAUGUGACGAGGACCCAGCUGCUGUGAACUUCUGGAAGCUCGAGGGCAAUACUUGGAAAUGUGUCUCGGGUCACCAUAAGUGAAGCAAGCUCUCGGCUGCUGAGAAUACCGAAGUGGUGGUGCACUGAUAGGAUAUGAUGGUGAGCUGAAGAGCUGCUGGUCAUAAUACUGUGGCUAAGAGCUAUGAUCACCUGGAGCACAAUGUGAAGCCCGGAGUGCUGACUGGAAAGGUCCCGAGGGAUGGCCUCUGUCAUGGAAAUCCCUACCUCCAGAUGAGGUACCACUAAGUCUGCCAGAAUGUCGAGGCGCUGAAUCAGUCCAUCAAUGAACCUACGAACUCUCUCUCGAUCUAUAAGGAUUAUCACUACUGCAUGGCGUGCCAAGUCAACAAAUCUGGUCUCAUACUGUGUGACUGUCAUAGAGCCCUGCCUAAGGCGCUCAAACUGUCUGCGAAGUGCCUCCCGCUGAGUGACGGGGAGAAAUUUCUCCAAAAAUAACUCUUCAAACUAAUCUCAUGUCAAAGCUGGUGACCCUAUUGGUCUAGAUAAACAGAAAUCCCUCCACCAAGUCUUGGCAGACCCUACAAGCUUGAAAGUACAAAAACAACCCCAUUGGUCUCUACUAUCCCAUAGUCCUGAGGAUCUCAUGACAAUGAAGAAUAAGAAGAAGAAGAGGAAGAAGAAGAAGAAGAAGAAGAAGAGGAAGAAGAGAAAGAAGAGGAAGAAGAGGAGGAAGAGGAAGAAGAGGAGGGAAAGGGAGAGGAAGAAGAGGAAGAGGAAGAGGAAGAGGAAGAAGAAGAAGAGGAAGAGGAAGAGGAAGAUGAAGAGGAAGAGAAGGAAGAGGAAGAGGAAGAAAAGGAAGAUGAAGAUGAAGAUGAAGAGAAAGAGGAAGAAGAAGAGGAACAGGAAGAAGAAGAAGAAGAAGAGAAUAAUAAUAAUAAUAAUAAUAAUAAUAAUAAUAAUAAUAAUAAUAAUAAUAAUAAUAAUAAUAAUAAUAAUGACAACGACAACAACAACAAAAUAUGGGCCCGUAUUAGUUGUUAUGAUAUAAAUCUCAAAAAUCGACCUCGGGCUCACUUAGUCAAAAUACGAGGUUCGGACUAAAAUCAAAUUACCCAUUCAUCCACGAGCCCAAAUAUAUAAAGUCUAAAGGAAGUGGAAGAGGAAGAGGAAGGAAGAAAAGGAAGAGGAGGAGGAAGGAAGUAGAGGAAGAGGAAGAGGAAGAAGAAGGAAGAAGAGGAAGAAGAGGAAGAGGAAGAGGAAUAGGAAGAGGAAGGAAGAAGAAGAAGAGGAAGAAGAAGGAGAAGAAGAAGAGGAAAAAGAAGAAGAAGAGGAAGAAGAAGAAGAAGAAGAAGAAGAAGAAGAAGAAGAAGAAGAAGAAUAAGAAGAAGGAGAAGGAGAAGAAGAAUAAGAAUAUGAAGGAUAAGAAGAAGCAGAAGAAGAUGAAGAAGGAAAAGAAGAAGAAGGAGAAGAAGGAGAAGAAGAAGGAGGAGGAGGAGGACAGGAGGAGAAGGAGAAGAAGGAGAAGAAGAAGAAGAAGGAGGAUAAGGAGAAGAGAGGAGAGGCAGGAGGAGAAGGAGGAGGAGGAGGGGGAGAAGAAGAAGAAGGAUGAGAAGAAGGAGAAAAAGAAGAAGGAGAAGAAGAAGGAGGAGAAAUAGGAGAAAGAGGAGAAGAAAGAAGAAGAAGAAGAAGAAGAAGAAGAAGAAGAAGAAGAAGAAGAAGAACAAGAAGAAGAAGNNNNNNNNNNNNNNNNNNNNNNNNNNNNNNNNNNNNNNNNNNNNNNNNNNNNNNNNNNNNNNNNNNNNNNNGAAGAAGAAGAAGAAGAAGAAGAAGAAGAAGAAGAAGAAGAAGACAUAUUUCCAGAAUUUGUAGAUAAAUUGUAGUCAAAUUAGAAAAAUUGUGGACUGUUUUUUACAGAAGAUUUUGUAGAAGCUUUAGUCGUUUUAGAUUUGUGAAAACAAAAAACAAUGCAUCUACAAUCAGAAUACAAAUAAUCUAUAAUUUAUCUGCAAGAUAUCUACAAACUGGAUACAUUGAAUUUUAAUAUGCCAAUUCUCAUUUCAAUUGUAGCAUAAUUAGCAUUUUUUACAUAAUUAUAAAAGAUUUGUAGAAGUUUUAGUCUUACUAAUCUACAAUUUAUCUACAAUUUCUGGAAAUAUUUCUUCUUCUUUUUCUUCUUCGAGUUUCAAUCUGAAAUUCAGUCAAAACCAAGUCUAAUUUUCACCAAAACCACUCAAAAUUGAGAUAUAAACUCCAAACCAUAUUCCCAGUUAUUCCCAAUUAUUUAAAUUUAAAGCUUUCAAGCUUUUUAAUGGCUAUCAAUGGUGAAAAAUAUAUGGAAGAAAAGAUGAAGAUGAAGAUGAAGAAUAGAAAUCUCCUUUCUGUUUCAAAAUUACGCAGCUUCCAAAUCACGUUUCCGUUUCAAAUUUUGAAUUUAAUGUAGAAUAAAUCAAUCCUAGAUUCUGUGGCUGAUUUUUCACGCCCUAAAAAUGGCAGUUUUAGCCUAACUAACGAAUGGUAUAUAAAUUGUAGGUAAACUGUGGACUGGACAGGUAAUAUACAUAAUGCACAUAUUUGGUAAUAAGGUUUCAUAUAUGGUAUAGUUAGGAAAAAGUCCCAAAUUUUAAUAACCUAUGUUUUUUACCACUUGCAGAAAAUGGCCAUUCGACCCAAUAUAUUGCAUAUAGUAGCCGAAAGGAAUGAGUAAUACAACACAAGUACUUGUAGCUCAGUGGAUAUAGCAUCUGUCUCCAAGCUAAAUGUCGCAGGUUUGACCCUCCCUGCGCGAUAGAGCAUCCUUUUUUGCCUUUUUAAAUUGUUAUUUUGUACUUUUGGAUCUAUAAGUAUUAGCUAAGAAUUAAAUGAAAUAUAUAAUGCAGGUCAUAUACGAAAUGUCUAUUAUAUAUAUAUAUAUAUAUAUACAAAUAUAUACAUAUAUAUAUAUAUAUAUAUUUAUUUGUAUAAUAACAGUCUAUUUUUGUAUAUUUUUUUGCAUAAUGAUAGUUUUGUAUAUUUUUUAUAUAGUAACAGACUAUUUUGUAUAGUGAUAGUCUAUUUUGUAUAGUGAGAGCUAAUUGUAUAUAAAUUGUACAGUUAUAGUCUAUUUAAUAUAUUUUUAUACAGUGAUAGUGUAUUUUGUAGAUAUUUUGUAUAAUGACUGUCUAUAUAGUAUAUUUUUUGUAUAAUGACAUUCUAUUUUUGUACAUAUUUUGUAUAGUGGCAAUCUAUUUGUUUGUAAUUGUCUAGUGACAGUCUGUUUUAUAUAUUUUUUGUAUAGGGACAGUCUAUUUAAUAUAUAUAUUAUAUAGUGACAGUCUAAUUUGUAUAUAUUUUGUAUUGUGACGGUCUAUUGAUAUAAAUUAUACAAUGACAGUUUGUUUUAUAUAUUUUGUAUAGUGAUAAAUAACAAUAAGGAUAUACAGAGUAUUACUUUGAAGAUGACCACUGCUUUCAUUUAGCCAAUUAGGAGUCAAUAAUAACAAAAAUUAUUUUGUUAUUCUGAAAAUUGUAUGGAAAAAUUAGAAUUAUGUGUAUAUCAUGGUACUUUUAAAAAAAAA